UCUCUCUUGACCCAUCCAUACAGAACCUUAAAUGCCAAAAGCUGCUGAUUCUUCACGGCAAUGUGCACAGCUGUCUCACACUUAGUCGUCAAAUCUUCUAUGGAAGAAGGACAAGCGAACAAGAACUCACUCAACAACUCUGCAUCGCCUGUUUGAGCCACAUGAUGCAAAGGAGUAAUCCUUCCUUCCCCCUUGAUCCUGAUUAAGCUGCUGUCAAUUGCCACAAACCCUCUCACCAUUCGAGUGUGCUUGUUUUGCAGGGCUAAAUGCAACGGGCUGAAACCUGACACGUUCAGCUUCGAAGCAAAUGAUGGCUUAAGGGUCACUAACUCCAUGGCAAAAUGAGUUUGCCCUCUUUCAGCUGCAAUGUGUAGUGGCGUCUCACAAAAGGGCGCUUUAUCAAAGUGAGCUAGAAUGUCUGGAUCUUCUGCUAUCAACUGGUAGAGUCUUUUUACAUCUCCAUCUUGAGCCGCCUUCUUCAAUUUCUCAUAGAUAUUUUCACCAUGAGCGCUCGUACUUGAUCUUCCACUCCGAUUUGCAUCUUUAGCUACCAAUUCUGCUGCUCCAUUAAUAUCAACAACAAACGACAUAACUUCACUCUUCACCACUUAGGCUUUUGCUGCCUCAGUUUUCUUUUUGUUUUCUUUUUUUCUUUCUUAAUUUUUGCCUUCUGCAACACAUGCUUAAAUAGAAACACGCGAAGUCUCCAAUCGAGUAUGUUACGUAAGAUAUGUGACGUAAGAUAUGUUACGUGAGAAAGAGCUUGAUUAUUCUAAUCUCAGACCACUCAUUGUCCUCAUGAGAUGUUUGUGAUAAGAAUGUAGUGACUGGUGAAAAUUUUAAGCAAAGACUUUGAUUAUUCUAAGUCUCCGAUCCACAUGCAUAUGUCCUCACUCAUAAGCUCAGCUUUUGUCGUGAAGUUUACCCCCACGGGUUUUUGUGGGAUUGGUUUGGUCCCCAAUUCCUAUCAUGUGGGCUAUUCUAAUCUCAGAACACUUAUUUUCCAAUUGAAAAGACUUUGAUUGGUCGUAGUUUACGUCAAAUAAAGUCCGUAGGGCCAUCUAUUUCUGGCAAUAUUAGACCAACUACGUAGAUAUGGAUUAAUGGCAUUUCAAAAUGAGCGAUGGAGGUUUCGCAAGUUAGAUUUUUAGAUAGGUUCCACACAUCAGAUUUAUACAAACCCAUCAAGUCUAUAAUAACCAGGAAAUCAAAUACUACAAAAGAAAUUAACAAGGCCAAAAACUGAAUACCUAUGAAUUUCAUUUUCUAACAGAGCGAUGGAGGUAUGGAUAUGAACAUAUAAAUUAUGAACAGUCAAAAUAUUGUGCCCAUACAAAACACAAAAGAAAUGAUAUCAUUACAUCUACCAUUGCUGAUAUGAACACAUUUUUUUUUCAUCAGGGAAUGCAAAAGUAAAAGACUAACAGUAACUAGAGUUUACCUCAAUAGAGAGUGUCUAUGUCCAUUGUAAUUUCUUAUUCUUAUAAGAUUUUGGGUCAUCUUUCUCUCUUCACUCGUCUUAGUACCAACGGGUCCAUGAAAAAUGUAGUUUCACUGGGACAUUUCGUCGAACACUAUACUUGCAUAGGUCAAAAACUUGUGACUUUAGACAAAAGUAACACAACAUAGAUUCCAGUCUGAUUGCAAAUGUCUCCCUUUAUAAUUCCACAUAGCCAUCAUAAGAAUUUCAAGUUUCAAUCCGUGCAUUCGCCAUUGACUCGAGAGGAACCUGAUCUCCUGAGUCCACUUGUUGCGUUUAUUACCACGAAUCAAUUCCCAAAAACGCCCCAAAAACAUGCUUCUAACACUUGAAUUUCACACCCUCUAUGGACGUCACGAGUUUGCGAUCGAAGAAACAGAGAAUGUAACGGAGAUUAACGCAGAGAUAGAGACAAUAAUGCAAGAGGAAGAAGAAGAAGUUUGACAGAGGAUAUUUAACGUCUUGAAUCAGAGAAUAGAAUCCUUAAGAGAAUGAUUAAAAAACAAUGAAUCACUCCCUCUCUGUCUCUCUCUUGGAUUUUACCCUCUCUUCUUCCACUACCUUAACUAAUAGGCACGUGCAAUGGGAGAGACCUUCAUGAGUCUUUUAACCAUUUUUAUAUUAUUAAGAUAGGUUUAGAGAUCUAAUCAAGAAACUUGCAUUUUAAGGGAGUCCAAUGGGAGAAAUUUAAUUGGUUUUUUUAAAUAAACUUAUAAUAAUAAUUUAACGAAGGAUUUAUAAUAAAAACUUUUAUUAAUACAGAUUUAAUACAAAAACAUAUAAUACAAAAUUUUAUAAAAAACUUAUAAUAAUAAUUUCAUUAAUACAGACUUAAUACAAAAACAUUAUAACAAAUAAAACAUAAAUUAUUACAUAAAUUUUCAGUUUUUAUUUUAUUAAACUGUAUAUAAUACAUGAAAAAAAUAAGGGAAAAAUUCUUUUAUUUCACCAUUUGUAAAAAUACAAAGAGUAUAAAAGUUUAAUGUAAUAAUGUUUUUGAAACCAGAAAAAAGGCAAUCAAGCCUGAGGAGAAGACAAAUGUUUUCAGAACAUAGCUCUCCAUGAAUACCACUUGAAUUUAUACUGAAACCAAAGUGGAGAAACACCAAAAACUCCUCUCUGAAUCCUCAGAUCAAACACAUCGAAAUGUACUUUACUUAACGAAUAAAGAAGAACUUGUACCGGCACAGAAUGAAGCAGGACCGGUUUAGCUUCUGCAGGAACUUUUCCCGCAAGUUCACGGGCUUUCAAGAGAUGUACAUUGGCAACAGAUGCAAUCUCAAACACUACAUUGCAGAAUCCUUCUCUUGAGUUCACAUCCAGAAGGAUCUCUGAUCGUCCUCCUUGUUUCACAAGCAACCCGUGCUUCUCAGCGAGAUUCGCAGGGAUGUAACUUUGUUACUCUGUUCACGGUUUCUUGUACAGUGGUAAGAUAACAAUUUCAGUAGCGAGACAAGACCACUGGCUUUACCGAUGUGGGAAGCUGCAUGAUCCACUGCUGUUGAACUGAUUCCGCCUGCUUGGAGUGUAUUGUACAGAAGCGUGGAAACCGUAUCCUCUGCAUAUCUCUCAAGCUCCUCGAUACUCUCGGGUAUAUCCUCAACUUCUCUUUGAGCAUCACGGAUGCUUCUUGAUGUAGAGCUUGUCGAUUGCUUCUUGCCACCAAAGUAAACGCAUCGAGCCGAUUUCGGGAUCAGGUGCAACAUCCAUGGCUCUUGCGGUUUCUACGUUGAAAGCUCGGAGAGCAAAUGCGGCUUUACGCAUCUCGGGUGGGAGCUCAAGUAGACAGAGGUAGUGAUGAUAGCCGUAGUUUCGUACUUGUUGUACACAGUAGGAUAAUGCUGAACGCAAACUCUUCGAGCCUCCUCCAUUCAUCAGAUUUUCUCAAUCUCUGCUUCGUUCUAUUCUCGUGCAACCAUAUAAACCACAAAAACAAAGCUUCAAUCCAUCCAUACUCGUCGAUUCCACCACGUAGAUGAUGAGAAGAAAUCGCCGCCUCCGUCUGAAACACUCGGCGAUGAAGGAUCCCGAUGGCAUCGAUGAGUAGCGGUUCGACGGAGAGAACGAAGUAAGGAGAGCGAAAAACAUUUCGAGUAAAAAAAAAAAGAAUGAGGACCCAAAACAUAAUUUUUUUCCCCUUGUUUUUUAGCCCAAUGAAUUUUUGACACGUGCAACUUAAAAGACGUUUCUCCCGACUCUAAAUUUAGAAACGUCUCUGGCCAUUUUUUAUGUUUUUCAUUUAAUUAAUUAACCUAAAAAUGGGAGAGACGCUGGUUAAGAGCAUCCGCAAUGCAGAGAUUCAUUUUAAUCUCUUAUUUAAAAUUUUUAAUAUUUAAAGUAGGGAAGAAAUUUAUUAAAGAGAUCCACUAAUUUUGCAUGGUCCAAUGGAAAAAAUUGUAUAGGAUUUCUUCAAAAAAAAAUUUGUCUUCUUUAAUUUUAUCCCAAUUUAGCCUAAUCAAUUGAGAUGUUACACAUGGCAGGGAGAAGAAGGAAAAAACGUUUCUUCCUGUUCUCAAAUAAGAGACGUUUUUAAGCUUGAGUCUCCUCUUUUGAUUAUUUUUAAUAUAAAUAAUUGAAAGAAACGGUCUUAAAUAUCGCGUUGCGAAUGCUCUAAAUACUUUGUUGCCCUUACUCUAACAAACUACCGGUACAACUUGAGACAACUAAACCAGAACCAAUUAACUUCGGCUGACUCUUUGUACCAAUACCAAACCGGUUCAGCUGAAUAACUAAUGUUUGCUUGCUUCUCACACUUCGAUUGUCAACAUAAGUCGGACUAAUACUACUAUACUAGAGGAUCGUUGAUCCCAUACUAUAUUAUUAUUUGUGAGGUUAAAAAUCUAAUGUAUCGUCUCCACAUUGAUUGUCUUUCGUGUAAAUAUCUAUAACAUUGUUUUUUUCUUAAUUAUGGGUCAUUGAUUUUUACUUUCAGAUUCAUGAUAAUUUUUGUCUUGUAUCAUAUUAUUUAUGUUAACGGUUAAUUAAUUUUUAAUGAUUAUACCUUACUUUUUUCAAUCAAAGGGAAUACAAUUUUCUAUUUUAUUUAGUUUCACUCUCAUUAUAUAUAUUUUCUAUGGAAUACAGAGAAAGCAAGAUAGUUAAAAUUUUAGCUACUUUAAUCAAUACAAAUUUUCAGUUUAAUUUACAAAUGAAAAAGCAAACUAAUAAUCACAAAUCUUACUCUCGUAACUAAGAAAAAAUUAGUUUUUGAACCCAAAACAAAACUAAUUAUGGAAUGAACACUAAAACAACUUAAUAAUAAAAAAAACCGACAAAAUAAAUAUGCUUUUUUGUUUACCUGAAAAAUCUAGAAAUCGUAAUUUAUCCGGUAACAUAUAUUAAAUGCAUUCACGAUCUUAUGUAAUUUCAAUUAAGUAAUUUCAGCUUUUAUAUAACUUUGAGUCCCGUAUGUGUUAAAAAUCAAAGCUAGAAGAUUCCACACGAGGUCUUUUGCGGCAAGUGGUUGCAGUCACUCCUCCUUGUGAUGAAGCUUACUGAUUGUAAUCAGAUGCUGUUUGAUCAGCUAAUUGUUAUCAUUGUGGUUCAAAUUGGGUUUUUAAAACCUGGUCAAAUUUCAUGUUAUUCCAAAGAAUAUUCCUCGAAUACCUCAGUCUCCUCCGCCUUAAUGGUGAAACUUCUUUCUCUAUUUUCAGUGCUUUAUUUUUCAAAAGUGUUGAGUAUCAAUUACUUCACAUGUUUCUCGGAUUGUUUGGAACUUAUCCUUCUUCUCAAAUACGGUGGCCAACCUUUGGAGAAUUAAGGUCUCUUUUUCGACAUUAAAGCGGCUUGUAGUGACUUGUCUAUAUCUCCUUUCAUCAUAAUCCUUUUUAGGUAAUAGUUUAUUGGAUAGUUAAGCCAAGUUGGCUCUUUUACGUUGUAAUAACUCAUUCCUUAGUGAAAACUAACUCUAUUCUUUUAUUUUUUUAUUUUAGUUGAAAUGGUUGCACACACACACACACUAAUUUUUUUUAUAGUUAUAUGACAAAAAAUUUAGAUGAUAAUGUAGGAGUCUCUAAAUAUACGUGUAUAUGUAAAAAAACAAAUAACUAUUAUAUUUGUUCUUAAUUAUUUAUAUAAUUUUCUUACUUUAAUAUUAUUUAGUUUUUUUUAUUAAUAUAAAUUUUAUACAUAAUUUUCUCUCAAAUAUUUUUUUAAGAAAAUAAUCAAAUUUGGAAACUUUUUUAUUUUUCAAUAUUGUGGUGGACCAAUGAAAAUUUGAUACAUAAUUUUCUUAUUGUUUUCUAUUUUUUAUUAACAAUAAUAUUAAUUUUUGGAAACUUUCUUAAUUUUCGAUGUUGAUGUGGACCAAUAAAAUUGCCUUUUUUUAAUCCUAUGUGGACACCUUUAGAGGAAAAAAUCUGAUGUGUCGUUUCCACAGCGAUUGUCCUACGUAUCAUUAUAAAAAAAAAUUAUGUCGUAUUUUAAUUAGUUCUGAUAGGUCGAUAAUUAAUCUUACGUGUAAAUUCCUUUGACAUGAUUUUUUUCUCGAUUAUGCGCUAUCGAUUUUGUUUAUGGGCCACCGAUCUCGAAGUCGGCCCUAGCCAAUGGGUCACCGAUAUCAAAGUUGGUACUAACCUAAACUCUAGCGUAUCCAUCAUGCUAUAUAUAUACUCGUCUCAGUUUUCAUGUUUUCUUAUAUACAAUAUCCGUCUUCUAAGAUCUAGUAUCUUUUUAAAAAAUUCAUACAUGUUUUUUUUUAAACAUCAAUAUAUACUAUUAUUUAUGCAUUCGCCGAUUGAAUAUUUCAUCUCUCGCCUUACAAUAAUAUCACCAGGUAAAUAAAAAUUUCUGUUUUUUUAAUUUUAAUUUGUGCUUUAAAUUUUUUUUCUGCUUCUAGAUGUUCUUCUUAUGUAAUCUAUUGCCUAAUAGUUAUUUCCUUCAAAAAAAUUAUGAAUUUUCUGUAGCGACUAGCAAUCGUCCCCGCCGUGAUCCUCAGAUUUUGCCAUAUCAUCUGCCUCCAUCUCAAAUAAUUUUUACAGAAGAUGAACAUUUUUCUGCUGAUGUUUACAACGAUAAAUUUACAGGUUGGUUGAAGUGUAAUUAUGAAUAUCAUUAAGCCAUAUUGUAUAUGUAUUCUGAAUUUCCAACCCUUUGGGUUUGGGAUAAUAAAAACGUCAAUGGCAUUCCCCUCUUUGUGGCAACUCCAAACUGAGUAUUAUAGCCAAAGAGGAAUAAGAAGUAGAGAAUAAAGAAGGCUAAUAAAGAUUGAAAAAGAAGAAGAACUGAGAGAAUAAAAAGAUGAUGAAGAAGAAGAAGUCAAAGACAAUGAUGAAGAUGAAAGAUAAGGGUGAGAAAUAAGAAAAUCAAAAGAUAUAUAAGAGGAAGAAGAAAAAAAAGUACAAGUCAAAAGACGAUGAAGAAGAAGAAGAAGAAGGAAAAUAUGAGGAAAAAGAAGAUGAAAACAAAAAAAGUACAAGUCAAAGAUGAUGAAGAAGAAGAAGAAAAAUAUGAGGAAAAAUAAGAUGAAGAAUUUGGACAGAAAAAAAAAGACAAACCUUAAAAUUGGAGACUGAGAAGAGACAAUAAAACAAAAAUAAAAAAAUUAGAAAAAUACAAAGAAGAAUUAAACCAAAAGAUAAAGAACAGGAAAAAGAGUAGAAAAAAAGAGGAAGAAGAAGAAGAAGACAAAUCUGAAGAGAGAAAUGAAAUAGAAGUUGUAGUACGAUGAAGAAGAGGAAAGAAAAGAUAAGGAAAAAAAAUUGACGUCGAUGAUAAAGAAUAAUUAAAUGAUGAAGAAAAAGACAAAAAAAAAUCAUAAUAAGAAAAAUUAGAUGCUUCAGGGAAAUGUAGAUGGAGAGAUAGAGAGAGUGUGAGGGAGAGAAAUACAAAGAGAGAGAAAGAGAGAGAGAGAGAGAGAGAGAGAGAGAGAAAUGGUAGGGAGAGUUAAACCUUAUAAGUACAUAAUAAAUCUAUGUUAGUUCGUAUUCUGUGUUCCUAUUUUUUUAUAUUUGAAACACUUUUACUUUAAAUGUGAUUAUCUAAAUCGUAUGAUAUACAAUUUAGGACGAGGAGGGAAGGGAGAGAAUGAGAGAAUGAUAGGGAAGGACGCAUGGAGGGGGGGAGAGAGAGAGAGUUAAAGUUUUCAAGAACAUGUAUUUGAUUGAUAUAAAAGGCGAAGAAAAAUAAGAAGAAUAAGAAGUCGGAGAGAACGAAGAAGACAAAGGUUAUGAAAAAGAAGUAGAAAUAGAAUAGGAAGAAAAUGAAGAAAAAAUGUGGAAAACAGCGAAGAAGAAGAAGAUGUGACAAAAAAAAACUUAAAGAAUAAGAAGUAAGAAAAGAAAUAUAAAAUGAAGAAGAAGAGGAAAAAUAAAUAAAAAGAAAAUGAAAGAAAACUAAGAAGAAGACGUGAGAGAAGAAUGAUAGAUAAAGAUGGAAAUAUAUGAAGAAAUAUAAGGAAAGACGAUAAAGAAGAAAAAUUAAAAGAUAAAUAAGAGAAAAAAUAAGAAGAUGAAAAACAAUUAUGUAGAGAAGAAAAACUAAUUUUUGUCUUAGUUCAAUUGAUUUGCGAGUUCAAUACAUUUAUUUAGUAAAUAUUUUUGUUUUUAAUUUUUGAUAAUGUUUACUUUUUGGGUUUGCUUUAUUUCAUCAUGUAUGUCUUAAAUAGUUGUUUUAAUUCUUUUCAGCUUUUGGUUUAUAACAUUGAAAUCUCUAUGCUCGCACAAGGUGCAGGCUAAACGCCUAGUAAAUACUGAUAAUCAAGAGAGAAGGAAGAACCAAAUUCUUUUUUUAAAACAGUUUUAUUAGAUGUAAAAAAAAAACUAGUUUUAACGGAUGAGUAUGCAACAUGUGUUGAAGAAUUUAUGAAGUUUGCGACAAACAAUAUCGAGAGAUUGGAAAAUAGUAAACUCUAUUAUCCUUGUAAUAAAUGUUAGAAUAAUAGAUUAAGUUCUAUUAUAGGACUAUGGAAUCACUUAUAUAGGAAUGAGUUUAUGCCGGAUUACAAGAUUUUGUAUAUGCACGGAGAAAAUGAUUCAAUGGUACACUAUUAUAGCAGCUUCAGGUAGAAUAGAGAAAUCAACACCAGAAGUUUAGAUGGUGAAAUGAUGCAAAAGUAGGUAGUACUGUUCAUAUGGUGAAUGAUGCGUUUUGGGAAAACAUAGCAUUGUAUGUUCAGGAUGGUUAUAGAAUAGAAGAACCUGAUUUAGAAGCCAGAAAUUUUUUUGAUAUGCUAGAUGCGGCUAACCAACCUUUAUAUGGAGGAUGUAGAGAGGGUAUAUCGCAUUUAUCAAUUGUAAGCAGGUUGAUGACUAUAAAGACGGAUUUUAACUUGGUCAAGGAUUGUGUGGAUGUGAUAGCUGAUUUUGUGAAAGAUAUUUUACCUGAAGAUAAUAUUUUACCGGCUUCAUAUUACAAGAUUCAGAAACUUGUAGGCGGGUUUGGAUUACCAUAUGAAAUGAUAAAUGUUUGCUUUGACAAUUGUUUGAUAUUCUGGAGGACGGACGAAAAUCGCUUGAAAUGCAAGUUUUGUAACAAACCUCGGUAUCAGGAAACAAAUGGUAGAGUACCCUGUUCCACAUAAAAAGAUGUGGUAUUUUCCAUUAACGGAGAGGUUGAAAAGGUUAUAUCAAUCCAAGCGAGCAGCAGCAGCAAUGAGAUGACAUGCACAACACAACCCAGAUGGAGAGAUUGAGCAUCCUUCAAUGUAGAAGCGUGAAAAUAUUUUCAAGAUAUCUAUCCUACUUUUGCGUAUGAGCCAAGGAAGUUCUACUUUGGGUUAUCUACAAAUGGAUUCAACCCUUUUGGUAAGCAUGGGAGACAACGUUUUUUUGGAUAGAAAUUGUCACACCUUAUAAUUUCCACCUAGUUUGUGCAUGAAACGAGAGUUUUUACUCCUCACGAUUCUCGUCCCUAGACCAGAGCAUCCAAGAGAUCUCUUGAUAUUUUCUCUUUUGCAGCCAUUAAUUUAUGAGUUGAAGUUGUUAUGGAAAUAUGGCAUUGAAGCGUUCGAUAUUUCUCUACAACAUAAUUUUGUAAUGCGAGCGGUUCUUAUGUGGAUGAUAAGUGAUUUUCCAGCAUACGAUAUGCUAUUUGGAUGGUCCACUCACGGAAGUUUAGCAUAUCCCUACUGUCAAGAUAACACUGAUGCAUUCCAAUUAUGACACGGACGAAAGAAUUCUUGGUUCGAUUAUCAUUGGUGAUUUCUAUCAUCAGAUCAUCGUUAUCGAUGGAGCACGACAUUGUUUAGGAAGAACAAAAAAAAUGGAUGCUCCACCUCUAGAGGCUACAGGUUUAAAUAUUUUCAGACAGUUGAGAGAUUUUGGUGCUGACAAGACAGUUUCAUAUAGUGGUAAUGGUCAUGUUCCUGUUCAAUGGUGUGGAGAGUACCACAAUUCGUACAACAAAAGUAUUUUCUUUGAUUUGCCAUAUUGGAAGGAUCAUCUACUUUGGCAUAAUCAUGAUGUAAUGCACAUUGAGAAAAGCUUUUUCGAUAACAACAUGAACACUAUACAUAAUGUGAAAGGCAAGACGAAAGAUAAUCUGAAGGCAAGAUUAGACUUACUGGGUAUUUGUUCCCGUAAAGAUCUACACGUAAUGGCAAACGGCAAAUCAUUGCCCCCCAACUUUCCGAUUAGAUGUGUUUUCAAAAGAAGAGUCUUUGACUGGAUUAAGUAAAGUGUCAAAUUCUCCGAUGGAUAUGCGUCUAACCUACAUAAUUUCGUUAAUACUGCAGAAGGAAAGUUUUGUGAGAUGAAGAGUCGUGAUUGCCACGUUUUUACGCAACGCCUCCUUCCAAUUUCCUUUGCCAGUCUUCUACUAAAAACAUUCAUGGAGCUAUCGCAGAUAAAUUUAAUAACUAGUAUAAUUUUUAACUAUAAUUAAAUGAUUAUAUAUACAUAUAAUAAUUAUCUUACGUACUUUUGUAUCCAUUAUGCAGGUAUCAAUGUGUUUUUCUAAGAUCUGUUUACGAGAUAUUUUACAGUAGGCGGUAUUCGGAAUCUAAAGAAAAAGAUACCUGUUAUCGUUUGCAAUCUUGAGAAAUAUUUCCACCAGCCUUUUUUGAUGUUAUGGAACAUCUUCUUAUCCAUCUCCCUGGGGAAGCAGCAUUUGAAGGGCCAGUUUAGUAUCAGUGGAUGUACCUUUUUGAAUGAUAUAUGUUCCACCUAGAGAAAAAGGUGAAAAAUCUUGCAAGAGUUGAAGGUUUUAUUGUCGCACAGAACAUUAAUGAAGAGACAUCAAACUUUUCUGGCUAUUACUUUUCAUCUUCAUUCAAAACUAAAAUUAACUAAAAGUAGACGAACAGUACGAUGAUGAUGGAGGAGUUCCACCAACUUAUCCAGUUUUUGUCCUAAAAAUAUUUACACAAAUUGGAAAGAUUAGUGGAAAAGGGGAGCCUUGACGACUAACCGAAGAGGAACAACGAGACCGCUAUACAUAUAUUUUAUCAACCUGAACUGAAACUUUGGAAUAUGAAAGGUAUACAGUCUUAAUAUUCUAUAUUUGAUUAAAAGGAAUUUUCAUAACGUAAUUUUUUAAAUAAUGCAUAUAUAUAUAUAUGGUAAAUAAUAAGAUGUAUAUAGCUACGCGAAUAGUUUCCAAGUUAUUCAAAGGAUGAGAUUAUGAUCCAUAAAUGGAAAGACUUUGCGGGAUGGUUAAAAUGACACGUAAGUACGACAAACAAGCUUAAAUAAGUUCAAUUACAUGAGUUUAUUUUUCUUUUAUAACAAACAUAUAUAGUCGAGCAGAACGAAGAGCUCAAGAGAAAAGCAGCGGGUUUGGAGCUGAAGCUAGACGCAACGCAAGAAGAGUUUACUAUGACCAAAUCAGAAGUCGCAACUAUGGCGAGUUGGAUGAAGGCAAGGUUCCCUGAUUUACCGGUAAUGGGAACCGGAAGUUCAGGAAUGGGAAAUUUGGAAAACGAAAAUUAGUUUUUUUUUAUUUUUGUAAUUUGGAUAAUUAUUAUUUGUAAAAAUAUUUUAAUUUUGUUUAUUUUUUUUUUUUUUUGAAAAAAGUCAUAUUCUGAAAUACUUACAUUUUCGGAGCCCGCGAUUUCCGGAGGAGGCGAUAUUCUGUGCGAUUGGGGUUUCUAGCUUCGAACUCAAGCGAACUCUCCGGUCAUGGCGGCGCCGGGGCAGGAGGCCCUCCCGCCACCGGAAAACGGAGGAAACGGUGGGGAGGAGACGACUAUGGUGGUGACUCAGCAAGCUGUGGAGAAGAACAACCCUUCACAGGCGGUGAUCGAUCGGGGUUCAUCUCUGUUUACAUGGAACGAGGAGAAAACGGAUGGUGUGCAAGAGAUACAGGAUUUGGGAGUUGCGAAAAUUGACAAACAGGUCGGGGGUACGAAGUGGACUGAGGUAGUAAAGAAGAAAGAACAAUUGCAACAAUUCAGCAUGGAAGCUGAUGAGAUCGAAGGGGUUAAAGUCUUUCGAGUUCCGGAAGCAAUCCUAAACGAAGCUCCAAUGUGGGAUGACUGUGUGUUGGGGAAAUUUCUCAAGAAAGCUCCUCAUGUCGGAUCGAUACAUAUGACAGUGAACCGAAUCUGGACUGUGGGAAACACCGAGGCGAAAAUCGACGUGUUUGUGGUCAAUGAGACGACAGUAAAAUUUCGAAUUGCUGACAGGAAGAUGAGGGAGAGGGUGCUUCGACGGAAGAUGUGGAAUAUAAAGGACGUCCCCAUGCUGGUUUCAAAAUGGAGUCCUAAAGAGGAGGAGGUUCAACCGAUUCUGCAAUCAGUCCCCUUGUGGGUUGUUAUGAAAAAUGUGCCCAGGAAGCUGUAUAACUGGAAGGGAUUGAGCUUCCUAGCAAGCCCUAUUGGGGUUCCUAAACAACUUCAUCCUGACACACUUUGGGUAAAAGAUUUUGAAGUGGCCAAGAUCUCAGUGGAGGUUGACUUGACGAAGACGUUACCAAAGUUUCACUGUUUUGAGAUUCAGGGGAAAACAGUUGAAAUUCAGUAUGAAUUCCCCUGGUUACCCCCCUAUUGUACGAAUUGUGAUGGAUGGGGGCAUGUCGCAGCUGACUGCAGAAGAGAGCAGAACCCUGUACGUAUUCUGAAGAGGGGGAGCGACUUUACAACUCCAGCUAAAUCACACGCGUCUGUUGGUGAAGGACCGAUGAUGAAGAAACCUACACAUUCGAACACAGUGAAAGCCACUCUACCAGUGGAGACAGCGAUGUCAAACUUAUUGUCCUCAAUGACAAAGGAAAAUGGGAAGGGAAUAAGUGGACCAGGCGACAAAGUACAAGCAGUUGAUACAACCGCCACUACGCUCGACUUGGGAAAGCAAGUGACCCAGCCUGAGAACACAAGUGAAGGAACGGAGUGGAUCUCGCCAACGAAAGUAUUUCGUCGAACUCAACUCGACGAAUGCCAGCGGGAGAUUCUUUCUACAGCAUCACGUUUCUCUGAUCUAAUGGACGUUGGAGAAGAGGGGGAGAUAAGGGAGGGGUGUGAUGGGCUUGAGGAAGAGAUGGAAGCUGGGGAGAAGCAAGGACUUGAUGUGGAUACAGCUGGGAAAAGCGAACUAGAUACAAAUGCGAUGCAGGGGAAUGCGGGUAAAACUGAAGGGCCAACAAAUAGUGUCAUGAACCCUGAGGGGAGCCGAGCAAAAUUGAAGAGAGCGGCCAAAACAGCGCACCGAUACGGUGCAGAAACUUUGAGGAACCGACCUGCGACUACCAAUCGUGGAUCAGUGGCUGAGAAGCAAGCGAAUAACAAAAAAACCCUUUCUCAAUGACAGGUUUUUUUUGGAAUAUACGAGGUUUUAAUAAAAAAUGCAAGCAUUCAGUUGUCAAGGACUGGGUGCGUGGUAAUUCUUUUCAGUUUGGUGGUAUUUUGGAAACGAGAGUGAAGGAAACUCGAAGUGCACAUAUAGCUUCAUUGGUAUUUCCGGGCUGGUCUAUGGUCUCAAACUAUGAGUACAAUAGAUUAGGCAGAAUCUGGGUGGUAUGGAAUAAGGAUGUGCAAUUAACAGUGGUUCAAAAGAGUGCUCAGAUGAUCACUUGUUUGAUAUCGACAUCAGAGCAAGAUGGGGAGUUUGUCUGUUCUUUUAUUUAUGCGGCGAAUUUCAGCGCAGAACGCAGGGCACUGUGGGAAGAGAUGAAGCAGCUGCAUGAUUCUGGAAUAUAUAAGGGCAAACGUUGGAUGCUGUGUGGUGACUAUAACGAGAUUCUUUCAAGUGAUGACCACUCGAACACUGGCUCAAGGGUCAUUACGCAGGGAUCUCAGGAUUUUCAGGAAGCAAUUCAACAUUGUUCUCUUGUGGAUAUGGGCUCUCAUGGACCGUGGUUCACAUGGAGCAACAAAAGAAGCGAAGGACUAGUGCACAAGAAGCUAGACAGAGUCCUAAUAAAUGAGGAAUGGCUCACUCAACAGCCACGUUCUUACUGUGCUUACGAAGCUGGAGGAUGCUAGGAUCACUUGCGGGGGCGCAUUCAUAUGGAUAUCAACUCGCACCAUCUUAAACGGCCUUUUAAAUUUAUCAAUUCGAUGGCUAAAAUGCCAGAGUUUAUGCCAGCUGUCACAGAGUAUUGGAGAACGACGGCAGACCUCUUUGUUUCGACGUCGGCGAUGCACCGCCUAUCUAAGAAACUCAAGGAUCUCAAGCCUACGUUGAGGAGACUAGCGAAGAGCAGAUUUGGGGAUCUAUCAAAACGUACGAAGGAAGCGUAUGAAGAUCUGUGCAUGAAACAAGAGGCAGUGAUCCUGAAUCCCACGCAAUCAGGGCAAGAAGCUGAAACUCGCGCUUUCAUGAGAUGGGAACAACUUUCUGAGUUGGAAGAAGGUUUUCUAAAGCAGAAAUCGAAGCUCCAUUGGCUGAAUGUCGGCGAUAAAUGCAAUAAAGUGUUCUUUAGAGCUGCCUGUAUGCGAGAAUCGCGAAAUACUAUUCGGGAGAUUGUGGAUAGUCAGGGUACGGUGCUGAAAGAUAUAUCUGAGAUAAAAAUGGAGGCAGAAAGACACUUCCAGGAUUUUCUUUCUCAUGUUCCGUCGGAUUAUCAAGGAACAGAGAUCUCUUUUCUGGAGGAUUUAUUGGGGCACAGAUGCACUGCAGCGGAGAAUGAGCUACUGAUCUGCGAGGUCUCUGCAGAGGAAGUGCAAAAGGUUGUCUUUGCCAUGCCAAGCGACAAGUCUCCUGGUCCGGAUGGGUAUACGACGGAGUUUUUUAAAGAAGCUUGGACUGUUAUUGGACGAGAUGUGAUAGCUGCUGUUCAAUCGUUCUUUAAGUUGGGUUUCCUUCCUAAAGGAGUAAACUCGACGAUUCUUGCUCUGAUCCCAAAGAAGAACAACGCAAAAACAAUGAAAGAUUACCGACCCAUUUCGUGUUGCAACGUACUGUACAAGAUCAUCUCAAAGAUUCUUGCCAAUCGUCUCAAAUGUGUUCUGCCAAGCGUUAUAUUACCUAACCAGUCUGCUUUCGUCCAUGAUCGUCUCCUUGUGGAGAAUGUCCUGCUUGCUUCGGAGCUGGUCCAUGACUAUCAUAGGGAACAAGGCCCCCCGCGAUGUGCUAUGAUGAUCGACAUAGCAAAAGCUUUUGAUACAGUCCAAUGGAACUUUCUGCUCACCGUUCUUGCGGCUUUGGGAAUGCCUCAACAGUUUAUUGCUUGGAUUAGCACAUGUAUCUCCACUGCCUCUUUCUCUGUUCAAGUAAAUGGAGAAUUAGUGGGAUACUUCCAGAGUAGGCGGGGCCUAAGACAAGGAUGUGCUCUUUCGCCUUACCUCUUUGUCUUGUGCAUGAAUGUUCUCUCCUGUAUGUUGGACAGAGCUGCUUUGGCGAAGCGUUUUGGAUACCACCGAGAUUGUGCAAAACUAAAUCUAACCCAUUUAUGUUUUGCCGAUGAUCUAAUGGUUUUCUGCGAUGGUAAACUGAGGUCAAUAGCAGCGAUCAAGGGUGUGUUUGAUGAGUUCGCCGUUAUCUCGGGACUACAGAUCAGUAUGGAGAAAUCCACCAUUUUCAUGGCUGGGAUCAAAGCUUAUGAUCGGGAUUUGAUAAUGCAGGACUUUACUUUUGCAGCUGGUGAGCUGCCUGUGCGGUACUUGGGUCUCCCUUUGAUGACAAAGAGAAUGACAACUGAUGAUUACGCCCCCUUAAUAGCAGGGAUCAGGCAACGUAUUGGGAGUUGGACGGCUCGCCAUCUUUCAUAUGCAGGUCGAUUGCAGCUAUUAGUUUCGGUGAUUGCGGGGUUUACAAAUUUUUGGAGUGCUGCUUUUCAACUCCCCAGUAGCUGUAUCAAGGAAGUGGAAUCCAUUUGUAAUGCGUUCCUUUGGUCUGGGCCUAUUCUUAGCACAAAAAAGACAAAAGUGUCUUGGAUGGAUGUCUGCAAACCGAAAAUAGAGGGAGGAUUGGGUAUUCGCUCGUUAAAAGAAGCCAAUUUAGUCUGUAAGCUCAAGCUUCUUUGGAGACUCUUAUCGAACAAAACCUCUCUUUGGGUGAGGUGGGUCCGAAUAUACCUACUUCGGGGUAAAUCCAUAUGGACUGUAAGUGAGACGCAGAUGCGGGGUUCUUGGAUUUGGCGACGAUUACUGAAGACAAGGGCUGUGGCUAGAGGUCUGCAUCGCAUUAAGGUGAAUAAUGGGGAAGAAACCUCUUUUUGGUAUGAUGAUUGGUGCCCAAUGGGUCGCUUAAUAGACCUAACUGAGCCAAGUCGAUUUAUAACUCUGGGGGUCGGUAUGCACGCAUCACUCGCCUCUGUUUGGAGAUCUCAUCGCCGAAAGCGACAUCGCCUUAAUGUCUACAAUCUCAUUGAGCAUGAGAUCUUUUCUGCAGCAGCAAAGCGAAAUCACCAUGAAGAUCAAUCGCUCUGGACCACUAAGACUGGUGUUUUUGUAUCCAAAUUCUCAUCGCGACACACUUGGCAUGUUACAAGACAGUCCAAUCCUCGCAAAUCGUGGAGCUCAGCCGUCUGGUUCAAGAACGCGACGCCAAAGUAUGGGUUUAUAACAUGGCUGACAAUGUUAAACCGUUUAACUACUGGAGACAGGAUGCAACAAUGGGGUGGUGGUAUAUCGACAGCUUGCAGUUUCUAUCAGGAUCCUUUGGAAACAAGAACACAUCUGUUCUACGAGUGCAGCUACUCUCAACAGAUCUGGUACGAAUUGGCUGGUCGACUAUUCGGGAAUGCGUAUUCAAAUGAGUUGGAAACUAUCACCACUCUCCUCUCAUCUAAUAGUUUUGACAGAACAAAGCUAUUUAUCCUGCGAUAUGUGUUCCAAGCAUCUGUAUCUCGGAUCUGGAGAGAACGAAAUGCGAGACGUCAUGGUGAUGUCCCAAACCCACCUCAGCGGCUUAUCUCUGAUCUGGACAAGAUGGUACGCAAUCGUCUCAGCUCGUUAUGCAGGGCAGGGGACUACAGCUACGCUGAUGGUCUCGAAAUCUGGUUCGGAACCAGAAGCUAAGUCGGACGAAAAAUCAUCUCUGCUCAAUCUUAUUAUAAAAACAGUUCGUGCUCUGUUUUUGUUUCUUUUCAUUUUCAAAUAACGAUUAUGUAAAGAAAUCUGUUUUUUUGGAAUAUAAUUUAACAUAAUUUCAAAAAAAAAAAAAAUUUGGUUUUUGAAUUAAAUAUAAAUUUCUAGUUUUCUAAUUUUUUUUUAAUUUUAAUAUAAAUACGGUCAGAAAUCGGUCGAAAAUGUAAAAAACAAAUUGAUCAGAAAUCCGUCUGGAUUUCAAACUUUAGAAAUUUCUUAUUUUAUUUUAAUAUCGGGGCUUUGAGAAAUUGGUCGGAAAAUUGUCAAACCAUUAUCCAUUGGAAAUCCGUUUGGAUAUACACGGCUUUCAUCGGUGUCAGAUAUUCGUUGAGAAUUGUCUGUCAACAUUUUCAUCGGUGUUCCGUCAGAAAAACAUGUGCUCCCGAUGAAAUGAGAAUGAUCGGGAGUUCCUUGGUAUACUUAUCCAGAGAAUCUGUCCGAAAUCUGUCGGAAAUCUGUCGGAAAGUAUCCAUCCUCAGGAAUCUGUCGAAAAUUUCCAAUGAAUUUCCGACGGAUUUUUUUCCCGACCAGAUGAUUCAAAUAACAUGUUUUCGCCGGAAAUCUGGAAGGCGUAUCCCGACGGAUAUGGUUGUGUGGAAUCGACUCUUUUAUUGUAGUGUAAGAUACUAGUAGAUAUCAAAGAAGAGGUUUAAAGACUUAAAUAGAGUUCUUCAAACCAAAGUAAUACAUAAAACAUAAACUGCAAAUACCAACGUAAAACAAAGGCCAAUAAAUUUUAUAAAAGAUAGUGAGGAAACGAUGCAUCACAUGAGCUGAAGCAUGUGUAGAACGCACCUUCAUCGGUAUCAAGCCCGAUGGAGUUCAACGAGGACUGGUAAUUAAAAAAAAAAAGCCUUCCUUUUCUGCUUAGUCAUGAUUGGUCUUCAUGUGCAUGUGUAACUUCUUAUUCAUAUGUUCAUAGCUUGUCUAUAAGAAAUCGUUUUCCUCAGAUUCGAACGCAACGGCUUCAAGCUUGUUGGUAUCGAAGGAAUCCUUCCAAAGAUUUUGCAAUGGCGGCUCAUGAAUUUAUUGGACCCUGUACAAUAAUAUAAUUUUGUAGAUAUAAUAUGCAAAAUAUAUAUAUAUUUUUUUUAAAGCCCUAAAGUCUUUACUAAAUUUGUAAGAAAAAAUCAACACCUAGUGCAAAUGCACCUUCAGCUUCAGAACAUGCCAAGAGCCGGCACAAUCCGAGGAGAUCUUGCAGCUGUUGUUGGGAGGUAAUGUUCUGUUUUUUUGCUUUUAAUAUUCGAUAUUAGGACAUUAUGAAGAUUUGGUUUUGGUUAUCGAAAUGUGAAAAAUGCAGGAACAUAAUCCAUGGAAAUGAUGGACCAGAGACAGCAAAAGAUGAAAUCAAUAUGUGGUUUAAGCCUCAAGAACUUGUUACUUACACCAAUAACGCUGAGAAGUGGAUCUAUGGCAACAACUAAAUGUCCUUAUCUUUCUUUUAUUACGGAUGAUACAAACACUUCCUAGAUGAUUGGAUUAUGAAAUUCUUGUUUGUUUUGUCGUCUUGUUGGACCUUAAAUAUACAAAGGUUGAGAAAUAAUGGAUUCUUGCCGUACGUUUCUUUUUCCAAUCCAUUACCAAAAGUUGCAGAUUCUAAAUAUUUAGCUUGAGUUUUGAGAAGCCAUUCAAAAACAAAAUGGCUAUGUACAUGGAUUAGUAUUUUUUUUACAACAUUUUACAUGAACCCCAUUCCUACAAAGACUCGUUCAUAGCUACUAACACUUUUUAACAAAACAACGGAAAUUAUAGAAAACCUCCAUAAAUAAUAGACACAAAAUUCCAUGGAAAUUUUGGAAGCAGACCUGAUCAGGUGAUGAUGGCACAUUGUAAAUGUAAAUGUUCUUCUUUUUUUUGGUCAAAUAGAUUUUUAUAUUUAUCACUUACUCUCCAACAAAGGAGAAAAAGUUCAAAGCAAAUAACAAAGCCAAACCGGAUAAAAUAACCGCUCCUACCAUAGCCAGACGGGAAACAUACAUAACAAGGAUAUAUGAGAGCAACCAUAACACUUAAACAACUAGAGGCGGAGAGGAGUUGUCAAGUCUCGCACCAAUAGUGCUAAGAGGUGAAAUAAGGCCAUGGGAAUUAUAGAACACAAUCAGUGAUCCUAUACCUGGGAUUGAAAUCGCAACAUGUGCAAAUUUAAAAAUUAGAAAUUCAGCUAUAAACGCAAAGAUGACAAUGCACCAGAUUGCUGAGCCCUUGGAUAGAACAAGCUUCGAAGCGUUUGCAACCUUCGAUAUCAACCUCCCUACAACAAUGUAAGACCGCAAAAAUCCGACUGAAAUUACGAAUGAAAAAUAGCAAUAUUAUAAACGAUAAGUUAAGGUAAAAGAUUAAAACGAGAGUUUUAAAAACUGAUUGAAAACAGACGAAAAACACGGAGUCGAGAUAUGAUCUCUUUCCUUAACUCAAUAAAUCGCCCGUAAUGUGUGAUGGUUUGCUGCGAUUUUUGAAUCCCAGAAUAUAACCGUGAAGAGACUAUUAUGCAACACCCAUAAUAAAAUCUGCGAACUGAAAUAAUACUACGUUAUACCUCUCGAGACACUUACGAUGUUAAGACGAGAGGGAUUUGCUGGAAAGAAUCAUUUGCUGUGUGUUUGGUAUAUUCAAGAAUUCGAUGAUUUAAAAUGAGAGAAGAGAGCGACUAUUUAUACUGGAAGGUUCAGCUUGAUCUGCAAGGAAUAAGCUUUGGCGAAAAGGAAUAUUCGCGAGAUAUUCUCCUUUUCCCACAAGUAAAAGGAUUCAGAAAUCUUCCGUUAUUAUCUGAACAUAAUUUUUUAUUUCCUACGACUUAUCCUUUCAUUAUGCAAAAAUUAUUUCGUAGAAACUGAGAAGCCGACUACCCACGCCCAGCUAUAUAGAGCCCAAGAGCCCUAAGAGCCAACUAAAAAUGCAAUGAGCAAUGAGCAAUGAGCAAUGAGCACAAGCCCAGCACCAGCACCAGCACCCGCGACGGCGACGGCGGCACGCGUAGGUGUUUUUACAUAAUGCCAUUUUACUCUACAAAGCUGUUUGACCCUUAUUAUGAGAAUGUCAUAUAUAUGCAAGAGAUUUCUCUCCUUGGUGAGCAAUGUGGGACAAUUACACUUCCACUUUUAGUUAUAGCCAAUAGGAACAAUUCAUUUCCAUAGGCUCAAACCCAAAUCUCAAAUGAAUUUAUAAGGCCCAAAAGCUUAUUAAACUUUAUUUCUUAUUCACACACAAACUCAAUAAUACAAGUCCAAAUGCUUAUUAAUAUUGGAUUCCAACAAUCCCCCACAUGAAUAGAAAUGACUCUAUACAUAUGCAGACUCGAUAGACUAUACAGACUAGACUCAAACUAGACUACAGACUCGACAGCGGAAUUUUCGAGAGUAUAAGCGAAAACUAAAUGUGUCUGAGGAAGUAGCGUUUUUCAGCCUUGAACCACUCAUUGUUAAUAUAUGUCGGAUUUACUCUCCAAGAAGUGAACAUGAUGUCUUGAACCACCCGGAUUUUUGUGUAAACCAGGUCAACAGAUAUAACCCAGCUUCGUCUUCUCGUAGCGUUCAGUUCUCUAUUGUGUUCAUUGUGGCCUUGAACGUGCCUAGUUAUCAUGAGUGAACUUGGAGAGUAUAGCCUUCUCUUCAUCCUCCUAGAAACGGCCUCAUUUCACACUCACUAUAUGAUUGCCAAAUGUACCUGUCAUAUACAUAGAAAGUAUCCUGUUAUACUCUAUAUACAUGUAUAUGAAGGCUACGGUCUUAUCUCAUUAAAAUCCAUAAAGCUUAACCUUACAUAAUUACAGAAAGCACUGUUUAUCAUCAUAGAAAUUGAGCAUUUUAUAGUGUUUUUCUCAGAUUCUGCUUGAUUUAGUUGUCCCUUUGAACCAACCUCUUGGGAUCUCCAAUCACGUAGGAGGGGUUUCCAUCAAACAUCCUCUUUCGUGAUAGGCAAUAAACCCAUUCCCUUAGAUGAUUUAAUGAUUUGAUCUCGCGGCAAGCUUUUGGUGAACCACUACAAGAAUACACGAAUUUAGUGACAGCAGAAAACGUCGGAAAGUAGUCGUAAAUCGGCAAUUUACGUCUGAUUAGCAACUGAAAGAUGUAGUCGCUAAUCCUUAGUCGCUAAUUAACGCAGUCGUGAAAUAGUUGUAAUUUUGCGACUAAAUUACGACUAAAUUGUGUGUGAUAUAAAUUGACGUAAACCAGCCGUAAUUUCGUCGGUAUUUUUAGUGACUAUUUUACGACUAAUUUUGCGACUCUCUUACGACUAAAAUGCAUUCGUACUCUUAAUAUCAUAUAAGUAGCUAUUUAGUCGUUAAAUAUUUAGUCGUUAUUUAGUCGUUAAUUAAACGACCAUUUUACGACUGUUUUGUGACAUAUUUACCUACUUAUUUGCGACUGUUUCGCUAUUGUUGUCAAUAAAUGAACAGUACUUUGUUGCACUUUUACGACUGAAUUGUGACUGAUCUGUGACCUUUUUCCGACAAAUUUAAAACUGCUUUGUGACUAUUUUGAGCAUCGUUUUUGCAAUUUGGUAUUUGCUAUUUAGAAACCCCCAAUUUUGAAAACCUGUUUAUAAACAGUGCUAUAAAAGGCAAAUUUGAAUACUAAAACCAUGAUCAAUAUUUAAAAAGCCAAAAACCAAUACAUUCAUCAUCAUACUACAUUCAUUUAAACCCAAAAAAUCUCAAAUGGUUUCUAUAUACAACCAUUAUAGAGAAGUACAAAAUGAGAAGAGACAUACUCUUCUAAGAUUUCUGAGACAUUAAAAAGAGUCCUAAGGUUCCGAGACAUUAAAAAAAAAGUGAGAAGAGACCUACUCAUCUAAGGUGGUACUUGAUGUUUGAGUUACAUGUGUUGUCGGAGCAGCAGGCGGAUCAGCAGGUGUUGGAGUGGUAGACUUCGCAGCAGGAAUGGUUGAUGGAGGAGUUUGACUAGCCAAAAAAUCAUUGAACCAUGGAUCAGUUUGAGUCAAGUACCUUUCAACCAUGGUGAGCUUCUCGAGCUUGGCUUCUUGCGCAGCUGAAGCUUUGGCAAACCCUGCUUCACGCCUUGCAUUCUCAGCCGCUUGGAGCUCUAUUUGGUGUUGAGCUUGUUGAAGCUGUUCCUGCAGAGUGGCGUAGGAUGCAGAGCUUCCUGGGUACUUCCUCUUGCCAUUGACGUACAAGUGAGAGAGGCUACCAACUCCAUAAGGUACACCUCUUUCACUCAUAAUAGUCGACUGUGAAUACAAAAAAAAAGAGUCAGACAUAUGAUUCAUUAAACUAAAACCAUGUUAGAAUCAAAGGACAAGCAAGAAAAAUAAAUAAGAAUAGAGAACCUUACCUAUAAAAAAAAGUCGUUCUGCUCUUCCACAGUUAGCUCUCAACGAGGUGAUGUACCCUCAGGAUUGUCUGAGCUUUCAGGGUUUAGGGCAGACAACUUGGCUUCCAAGUUUUCCUGGUAAGUCUCAGCCACUCUGCGUUUCCAUCCACAUAACUCCCAUCCUUUUUUGUGUGAGUCCUGAUGAAUACCUCACCAAGACUCACCGGUCUACCUAAUUCCUCUUCCUGAAAUUAUAAACCAAAUUAUGUCAGCGGGUAAGUUAUUAAUAAUAUUCCUAAAACUAACACUUAUUGAAUAAUAACAGAAUAGAAAGUUACCAUUUCUUGCUGGAUUUGCAGAUAGGAUUUUUGACCUGAGAAGACAACCGAGCAGCUGAAGUGGUUGAACUCUUAUCUUUGGAUUUUUCUGCGUCCCAAUGGGCAGUCAUUUGUUCCCAGAGUGUAUCCCCGAUCCAGUUAGGUUGCACUCUUGAUGUCCUUACGGUGCUGACCAUAUCCUUCAUCCAGCUUUUGCAAAUGCUCUCAAAUUUUUCUUGAACCACACCAGUGAUCAAGGGAUCCCAGGUGUGGGUUUUCUACAACAACAAGAGACAAAGAGAUGAAGUUAGAAUAAGACAUAGUUACAAAAACAAUAACAAAACCAUGUAAAUGAAAAAGGAGGAGAUCUUACCGCGAAUUCAAUGAAGUAACGCUCUUGUCUAUCACAAGGCACACGACUCCAACUGUAGAAAGGGCCAUCAAACUUGUUGGUGAAGACCUUGGUAAUCUUCCGGGUAAGAUAGGACUUGUCACGACCAAACCUGGAUACAAAGAAAACAAAGCAAGCAGUCAUCGAGCCAUCAUUUGAAGAAUGAAACAAAUGAAGCUAGAGUUUAGAAGACUUACCACGUUGUACCCGGUUUCUCUAUGGGAGACAGUACCAUAGUAUAAGCCUCUCUCCCAGGCUUCGUGAGCAAGGCAUUUAGAGCUUCAGAGAGAUUAACAUCACUGUAUUCUUCAUCUGAAGGUUCUUGAAAUGCAGCUUCUUCACCGUCAUAAUGAGCUUGUUGAGAGUGUGGAGAAUUACCGCCUUCUUGAGAUAAUGGAGAGGCUCGGUUUUGAGAGAAAGAAGAAGCUCCAAAAGCUCCUUGAUGCUGCGAUUGAGGUGAUGCAGAAUGCUGCCGAUGAGAUUGCAUAAGGGAGUCACGGCUGCUCCUCCUCGUGCUCCUCUGCGUUUCUUCCUUCCACGGCAACCCAUCGGAAUCCAGGAGAGGCUUAGGAUCGAUGCUCGUCGAGAGUUUCGGGAUGGGUUUUUUGAAGAAGGAAACUGAUCGAUUCAGGCUUUAUCGGGAGGAUUAAGGGAAUAUCGGUCGAUUUAGGAGGGGUUAGUAUCGAUUAUCGGUUGAUUUGGGUCGAAAUUGGGGAAGAUCGAUUGAUAGUUUAGGGUUUGGGGAAGAUCAGAACGAAAUUGGGGAAUUUCUGGGAAAUUAGGGUUCAGGUUAUGAGAAUCGAUUUGGAGAUUUUUCGGGAUUAAGGUGUAAUCGGCUAAGUAUUAGUGGGCUUCGUCUAAAUAAUGGGCCUGAUAAUGGGAUUAGAGGUGGGCUUAUUUUGCGGGUUAAAUUUUGGGCCAUUAGUAGUAUUAAAGUUGGAAAUCAGACGUAAAAUUUUUAAUUUUUGUAAAAAAAACCAACACAGUUUAUCCUACAAUACAACAAUUUCAUUCUGCAAUUUUAUUCAUAAACAGACACAUAAUAGUAAGGAUCCUCUUCAUCUUCAUCAUCAUCAUCAGAUGAUGAUGAUAAAUUACACCUAAAUUCAUCUUCUGGUUCUGCAUCUCUGACAUCGUAAUCGAGAUUUAUUGGGUUUACCCUGUGUACUCGAUUUUCAACAAUGAUAUCUUCAUUUGUGGUUAGCAUAACACCAUCAUCAUUAUCUUGUUGCAAGAGAGUUGAUUCUUUGUCUUCAUAUUGUCCUGAAAUAUUCCCACUUGGAUUCACUUUUACAACGUUUAGCCACAGCUGCUUUUGUUUUUUCCGGUAUGGAUAUGGAAUAUAACAAACUUGAUCUGCUUGCGAGGCUGUAGAAUACAAAUAUAAUUUCAAAAAUAAAUUCAUUACAUUUAUUGAUUUAUAUAUUUUUAUAUCAUUUAAUUUUACCUAGAAUAAAUGGUUCAUAUUUGUUGUACUUUCUUGAUGAAAGAACGUCAACGAGACCACCAUUGCUCCUUCGAGUGCCUCUACCAAUAACAGGGUCAUACCACUCACAUUUGAAAAGUGUGAUUUUCAGAUUUGUCAUCCCCUCAUACUCGAGUUGUAUGAUAUCAGUUAAGAUCCCGUAAAAAUCAGCUUCAUCAGAUGCAUCAGUGUAGUUUUCUCCUUUAACACACACUCCAAAGUUACAUGUCUUCCGUCCCAUGCCAUGGUACCGUGUAUGAAACAAAUAUCCUCUCGUAAAGUAAAUCGGCCAGGUUUUGGCUUUAUUGACUGGUCUGUGAACUAUAUCCUGAACCCAAAAAGGAAAAAGGAUUUGUAGUGUUCCACUAAGUAACCUGCACAUGUAAAUAUGGAUUGAUUAUUAAUCCGUUGAUGGAAAACGUCCAUGGUUAGUAAAACUAUAGAAAACAUACGUAAUCUUUCACCCAUGAAGGAUAUUCAUCAGCUCUUUUUGCAGAAUUUCUUUAUCAGAGAGUUGUGGAUAUUUUGUGCAAAUGUAAUCUUCGAACAUCCUGUACACCACAAACAUAUAUUAUACAAGAAAUGAUACUAGAUUAUAUAUCUGACAAUGAUGAAAUUCGAUAUACCUCUCAAAUGGUUGAAAGUAAUCGCAAUUUCGCAAAUCAUAUGCAUGUGCAAUUUUGUGAUCUUUUUCUGAAAGCCAUAUUUCAUGCAAUUGCCCACUUGGCCGACCUACGUGAGUAAAUAUAUCAGGAACUCUGGGGACAUCAUAUACAGGGAAUUCACCUUCGUCAAAUCUUGUUAACCUGUCCCAUUACAUCAUAAUAAAUAUAAAUUACCAUGUGGCCAAUAUUGACUUAUAAAUAUGAAUUCACCCAUUUGGAGUUUACCUCGAUUUUGUUUGUAUAUGAUCGGAAAAGUAGUGCUCCGUAAAAUAAGCAAUCUCGUCGUUGAUAUAUGAUUCAACAAUCGAUCCUAAUGCAUAUCUUUUGUUUUUCGCUUUUGCUUUCAGUUUUUUGAAAAAUCUUUCAAAAGGAUACAUCCACCUAUACUGCACAGGACCUCCUAAUUCAGCUUCAUAAGGAAGAUGUAUAGGCAAGUGCUCCAUUACGUCGAAAAAUGAUGGUGGAAAAAACUUCUCCAAAUUGCAUAAGAUUAGGACUAUGUUUUGUUUUAGGAUUUGGACCCUGUUUUUUUGCAAAGUUCUUGAACAUAAGUCACGAAAGAAUCCUCCAACACCUCUAUAUAUAUAUAUAUAUAUAUAUAUAUAUUAAAGUUCAAUUAUAAAUAAAUUACUAUAAUCAGAAAUUUUACAUGUACUAUUAAAUAGACUAUAAAGUACCUGAUAAUGCAAGGUGGACGUUACGGUCCAAGAGUUCUGCAAAGAUAAAUGGAAGUAGCCGUUCCAUAAAAACAUGACAGUCAUGACUCUUCAUGCCGGCAAGCUUUCCUUUUCAAUAUCAACACAAGCAGCUAAGUCUGACGCAUAACCGUCUGGAAAUUGUACUGCUUUCACACAUUCUUUUAUCAGCUUCUUCCAAUGUGUAUACCGGAAAAGGAGCUUGCCCAUUUUCAUCAAGAUGUAAGUGUGCCCGAUCACAGAAUCAUUCUAUAUCCAAUCUUGACUUUAUAGUGUCUUUCGAUUUACCUGUCACACUCAUUAGAGUAUUCAUGAUGUUAUCAAAGAAAUUCUUCUCUAUAUGCAUCACAUCAAGAUUAUGUCGGAGAUUGAGGUCCUUCCAGUAAGGUAACUCCCAAAAUAUACUUUCUUUGUGCCAGUUAUGCCACUUCCCAUAUCCAGGCAUCUUUUUUCAUGACCGUUUCCACCACAGUCAGACGUUUUUGCAGGAUUGACAGUUUCUAUGCGCUCACUAUAACCUUGGUCACUUGUCAAAGACUCUGGUGGUGACUCAUUAGCUUGUCUACCCUUCAAAAAGUUUUUUCUGUUCUUUUGUAAUGGAUGACCAUGAGGGAGAAACCUUCUAUGACAAUCAAACCAACACGUCUUUCUUCCAUUAGGCAGAUAUAAUGCCUUUGUAUCGUCCAAACAAAUUGGACAAGCCAAUCUACCAUGGGUCGUCCAUCCUGACAACAUGCCAUACGCGGGAAAGUCGCUUAUCGUCCACAUCAGCACAGCCUUUAAUUUGAAAUUCUGCUGCAAAGAUACAUCGUAUACAUCGAUCCCAGUUCACCAUAACUCUUUUAAAUCCUCGAUAAGAGGCCAGAGGAAGAUAUCGAGACUAGCACGCGGAUGAUUUGGCCCAGAAUUCAGUAUUGUGAGGAACAAGUACUCAGUCUUCAUGCACAUACCAGGGGGUAAAUUAUAAGGAGUCAAGAUCACAGGCCAUAACGAAUGAUUACGAGACAUGCCAAAUGGAUAGAAUCCAUCUGUACAUAAUCCAAGAUACACGUUACGGGGUUCUUCAGCAAACCAAGGAUGUAAAUCUUGAAAAUAUUUCCACUCUGCCGAAUCAGAGGGAUGACACAUUUCACCCUCCUUUGCUUGGUGCUCAGCAUGCCAUCUCAUUGCCGCUGCAGUCUUCUGGCUCUGAUACAUCCUCUUCAAUCUAUCACCAAUAGGUAAAUACCACAUACGACUAUAUGGUAUUCUGGUUCGUGAACGUCGUCCUUCGUUAGGCUUAUAUCUUGGUGACUGGCAGAAUUUACACUCCUCCCACAUUUCAUCUUCUUUCCAGAAGAUCAUACAAUUGUUAAUACAAACAUCAAUUUUUGUGAAAUGGAAGCCCCAAAUUUCCCAUCAAUUUCUCUGUCUCGUAAUGUGACUUGGUUGACUGAUUUCCUUCUGGUAAAUACUCUGUAAACAAAGAUGCCCACGAAUCCACACACUUUUCACUCAUAUUAUAAUCUAGUUUAUUUUUCAUGAACCGAGCAGCUAAAGAUAACUGUGAGUGACCUUCAUGACAACCAUCAUAUAAUGGUUUUUUCUCAGCUUCUAACAAGUCGUAAAAUUGUUGAGGAUGGUUACGCACCGGUUCUUAUACAUUCUGAUAACUAUCUUCUUGAUGAUAAUUAUCAUGAAAUGCAUCAUUCACCAUAUCCACAUAUCUAUCUCCUACUACAUUACCCACAUCUUCUUCACUCCAAUUUAAAUGAGUUGUAUUACCAUAACUAGUUUCAUAAUCCAUAGUAAUUUCUUCUCCAUGCUUAUACCAAAUAAAGUAAUCUGGCAUGAACCCUUUACUAAAGAGAUGGUUCCAAAUUUUUUUUCCUGGCAAAAAUUUAUUAUUUUUGCAAACACUACAAGGACAGUAAAAUUUACCGCCAUUACUCUGCGUUAGCGUCUGGUUGUUCGCAAAAUUCAUAAAUUGUUCUACUCCGGAUACAAAUUCCGAAUGGAAAUUUCCCGUCUCUUCGUCGAUCCGUUUAUACAUCCACUCUCAAUUAUAAUUAUUAUUACUGAAAUUUCCAGACAUUAUAUCUAGAAACGCUCUCCAGAAUUUUGGAGCUUAUAGAUUAUGAUUGUGAGUGAAUGGAAAGAAGAUGUGUGGUCUGUAUAUAUAGAAAAUUUUACGACUAAAUUGCUACUGGUUUGCGUCUAAAUAGCGACUGCGGUUUUUUAGUCGUUAAAAAUCAGUACACCUACCACAAAAGUUAAAACACGUGUUUUUUAUUAAGCGACUCGACAAAUAAGUCGUAAAUUGGUCGGGACUUAACGACUAAAGUACGACUGUUUGUAUUUGCUAUUAUGUAGCGACUGUUUGACGACUAACUGUAAUCAGUCACUAUUUCGUCGGGGUGUAGUCGUGAAACAGUCAUAAAACUUAACGACUGUUUUAAUAGUCGUAAAAUGCAGUUGCCAGUUUCAUGCUUUUUUGUAGUGAACGGAUUCGCUAAAUUGUCCGCUGACUUGAUGUAAUUGACUGUGAGUACACCACUUUAGAUCAGAUGCGUAAUGGUCUUAUGUCGUCUUCGUAUGUGAUGAAACUUGCCAUUGUAUAGAUUAUUCAGUGCAAGGGAGAUAGCUGACUGGCUAUCACAGUGUACACGUAAUGCUGAGACUGGUUUUUCCCACAUCGGGAUAUCUUCCAGAAUGUUCUGAAGCCACUCUGCUUCUUCUGCUGCUUUGUCUAAAGUUAUGAACUCAGACUCCAUGGUUGAUUGGGCCAGGAGUGUCUGUUUAGAAGAUUUCCAGGAUACUGCUGCUCCAGCGAGUGUAAAGACAAAUCCACUUGUGAAUUUGAAAUUUCUAGAAUCUAAAAUCCAAUUGGCAUCACUGUACCCUUCUAACACUGCUGGUUCUUUACCAAAGUGCAGCCCAUAACUCUUAGUGUAUCGCAAAUAGUUCAACACUCUAGUUAUUGCUUUCCAAUGAGUAUGACCAUUUGUAGUAGAUGCAUUUAUCACAUUCAUUAAUGCUGAAACCAUUUGAUAUCAUCACAUUGUCAAACUUUUCGUGCCAUUGUUUUGGAGCUUGUUUCAGUCCACACAAUGAUUUCACGAGUCUACACAUUUUGUGUUCUUGACCCUUAACUUCGAAACCUUCGGGUUGUUUCACGUAUAACUCUUCUUCUAAAUCUCCAUUUAGAAAGGUAGUUUUAACAUCCAUCUGAUGUAUUUCCAAACCUCGCAAGGCUGCUACACCAAUCAAUAUUCUGAUCGAAGUUAUUCUCGUAACUUGAGAAUAGGUGUCAAAGAAAUCUAGACCUUCUUUUUGUCUGAAUCCUUGCACCACAAGGCGUGCCUUGUACUUAUCUAUAGAACCAUCAGCUUUUAGCUUGGUCUUGAAGAUCCAUUUACACCCUAGUGCUUUGAGGUAAGUCAGUUAUCUCAUAGGUAUGAUUCUGCAUUAUAGAACUCAUCUCACUAUUGACAGAAUCCUUGCAAUAAGGAGCUUCUGGUGUAGACAUGACUUCUGUGUAAAAUCUCGGUUCAUUCUCAACAAGAAAGAGCAUCAUGAAAUCUUCACCAAAAGAUUUUUUCUUACUUGCUCUUUUGCUUUGUCUCGGUUCAUCUUCAACCUGUUUUACUUUCAUUUCAUUCAUAGAAGUAGUUGCAUUUCUCUCUUCACGAGUGCGUUUAGUAGUUUUUUUUUAUCCCUAUAUGGAAAUAUGUGUUCAAAGAAAGAAGCAUUCCUUGAUUCCAUGAUAGUAUUCACUUGGACAUUUACAUCUGACUUAUGUACCAGAAAUCGAUAAGCACUACUAUUGUGAGCAUUUCCGAUAAAGAUACAGUCCACAGUCUUAGGUCCAAUUGUGACCUUCUUAGGAGGUGGCACUGCGACUUUUGCUAAGCACCCCCAUACUUUCAGGUAUUUGUACGAAGGUACAUUACCUUUUCAAAGUUCAUACGGUGUUUUGCCAGUUACCUUAUGAGGUAUUUUGUUGAGGAUAUAAUUUGUGGUGAGCAGUGCUUCCACCCCACAGAUUUUGGGGUGUCCUAGAUUCCUGAAACAUUGCAUUCAUCAUCUCCUUUAGAGUUUUUGUUCUUUUAUUCCGCAACUCCAUUGGAUUCAGGUGAAUAGGGGACUGUAGUUUGAUGGAUAAUUCCGUUUAUCUAACAAAACUCAUUGAAAAGUCCAUCAUAUUCUCCACCCCUGUCACUUCUGACCAUUUUGAUGGUCUUUGCCAGUUGUUUUUCAACUUCGAGUUUGUACCCUUUGAAUUUGUCCAAGACUUCAUCUUUACUACGCAGCAAAUACACGUAGCAGUACCUUGUACAAUUAUCUAUGAAAAUCACAAAAUACUUUUUACCACCUCUUGAUGGUAGAUAUUUUAAAUCGCACAGAUCAGUGUGGAUUAAUCCAAGAGGUUCGGUUGUUCGUUCAACAUGAGGUGAUGGUGUUUUUGUGAGUUUUGCUUGGACACAAAUUUCACAUUUGUCUUUGCUAAUUUUGUAUUUUGGAAUCAUGUUCAAAUUCAUUUGUCUUUGAAUAGACUUGUAAUUAACAUGUCCUAAAUGUUUAUGCCAAAUAUUAGAAGACUCAACCACAUAAGCAACUGGAUUCUUAUUAAUUAAAUCUUCGGAAUCAGUUAUAACUUUGUUUUUCUUCAGGAUUGUCAUUAUAGACAUUUUGAUCAAUCCUGACUUAACAUAACCUUUUCCUAUGAAAAUACAAUUCUUCCUAAGUAUCAGCUGGUCAAACUCAAAGUUGAUUGCAAAUCCAUGCUUGCUCAUCAGAGUACCAGAGAUCAGGUUAUUCCUCAUGUCUUGAACAUGCUUCACGUUGUUGAGAGUAACCUCCAUGCCUGAAGUCAUUUUCAACACAACUUUUCCUGUACCUUCAAUCUUGGAUUGGGAGAUGUUUCUCAUAUUCAUUUGAUCAUCAGUCUUUCACUUCUGAUAGGUACUGAACAUCUCUCUGUCAAUACAGAUGUGUGUGGUAGCACCUGUGUCAUACCACCACGCCUUGGGGUUCUCUUCCACUAAGUUAGCCUCUGUAACCAUUGCACACAGGUCUGCUUCGGUCAAGUGAGAUUGGCUGUUCUCAGACUUAGCCUUUCGGCGACACUUUGAAGACUUAUGUCCAAGCUUGUUGCAGUAGUUGCACUUUCCAUUGAACCUGUUCUUUAUGGGUGCUUGACCUUGCUUCUUGAAGCUAGUGUUGUUUCGUGGAGGAAACUUGUUAGGCACAGCCUUGUUGGAUGGUUUGUCUACGCCCUUUUUUCUUGUAUUCAGCCACGUUAGCAUCAUGGGUCAUGAUCUGACCGUCUUCUUUUCCAACUCUGUCACGUUUUAGUAACUCAUUCUGGAAUCUGGAGAUCAAAUUUUCCAGAGACAGGGCCUUUUCCUUGUAAGCAAGAUAGUUCUGGAAGUCUGCCCAACUUGGAGGUAGCUUCUCAAUGAAGCAGUUCACUGUGAAUGUCUAACACAGCUUCAUUCUUUCAGUCCUAAUCUCUUGAAAGAUUAGUUCCAGCUCAUGCACUUGUGGCAUGAUGGGACGAGAAUCCACCAUCUCAAACUUGAGGAGUUUCGCUGUAGCGAAUUUUCCAGAGCCAACAUUGUACGACUUGUACUUCUUUUCCAAAGCAUCCCAAAGUUCUUUGGAAGUUUUGACAUCGCUGUACACAUCGAACAGCUGGUCCACCAGACGAUUUUUGAUGUGCCCUUUGCAUAAGAAGUCUGAAUGCUUCCACGCUUCAACGGUAGCCAGAAUCGUAGCAUCUUUGUUUCCUUCUGGCGCCUCUGGGGGAUUCUCUGUGAGGUACUUGUUCACCUGCAUUGACGACAGAAAGAAGUGCAUCCUUUCUUGCCACUGCUUGAAGUUCGAACCAUCAAACUUGUCGGGCUGAAAUCUCGCGGUUAUCGAUGCUGGCAUCCUGGCUUCACCCAAGUUUCUAUUUGUAGUCAUGUUGACAUCACCGUUAGUCAUAGUUGAAUCUGUUUACAGAAAAUAACCGAAGUUAGUAUCGAGAACCAAGAUUCAGAUCAACGAUUAAAACGUUUAAGUCGCUAUGAACAGCGUUUUUUCCAAAAAAGAUUCACUUUGAGUUUCCAUAGAUAUUACCAAUAGGUAUUCUUGGAACUCAAAAAUAGGUGUUCCCAAGAAUCGUCUUUUGAAGACGUUCUUAAACCCUACCACGUUUUGCGGUCCUGUCUAUGACUGCCGCAUAAACCGUUUUAGAAGAUUCGUCUUUAACAUAUCAAAAGUUCUACGAAAUAGCUAAGAAACUUUUGUAGAGACUUUGUAGAUCGAUUUUAAAAACUCAUUUUGCCAAAAUCGUUUAUAAAAACUGAUUCGCAAUAUUCAAUCUGAUUCAAGCGAUAAGCAGGAAGCGGAUUUAUUGAGUUAAGAUUGUAAGACCGCAAAAAUCCGAUUGAAAUUACGAAUGAAAAAUAGCAAUAUUAUAAACGAUACGUUAAGGUAAGAGAUUAAAACGAGAGUUUAAAAACUGAUUGAAAACAGACGAAAAACACAGAGUCGAGAUAUGAUCUCUUUCCUUAACUCAAAUCGCCCGUAAUGUGUGACGGUUUGUUGUGAUUUUUGAAUCCCAGGAUAUAACCGUGAAGAGACUAUUAUGCAACACCCAUAAUAGAAUCUGUGAACUGAAAUAAUACUACGUUAUAGCUCUCGAGACACUUACGAUAUUAAGCCGAGAGGGAUUUGCUUGAAAGAAUUAUUUGCUGUGUGUUUGGUGUAUUCAAAAAUUCGAUGAUUUAGAAUGAGAGAAGAGGGCGCCUAUUUAUACUGGAAGGUUCAGCUUGAUCUGCACGGAAUAAGCUUUGGCAAAAAGGAAUAUUUGCGAGAUAUUCUCCUUUUUCCACAAGUAAAAGGAUUUGGAAAUCUUUCGUUAUUAUCUGAACGCAAUCUUUUAUUUCCUAAGAUUUAUCCUUUCAUUAUGCAAAAAUUAUUUCGUAGGAACUGAGAAGUCCACGACCCACACCCAGCUUUAUAGAGCCCAAGAACCCUAAGAGCCAACUAAAAAUACAAUGAGCAAUGAGCAAUGAGCACAAGCACGGGCCUGGCACCAGCACCGGCAUCGGCGACGGCGGCGUGCGUAGGUGUUUUUGCACAAUGUCCUUUUACUCCACAAAGCUGUUUGACCCUUAUUAUGAGAAGGUCAUAUAUAUGCAAGAUAUUUCUCUCCUUGGUGAGCAAUGUGGGACAAUUACACUUCCACUUUUAUUCAUAGCCAAUAGGAACAAUUCAUUUUCAUAGGCUCAAACCCAAAUCUUAAAUGAAUUUAUAAGGCCUAUUUGCUUAUUAAACUUCAUUUCUUAUUCACACACAAACUCAAUAAUACAAAUCCAAAUGCAUAUUAAUAUUGGGUUCCAACAAACAAUACCACUCAAACCAAGUGGAAAUUUUGGGAGAAAAACAAACUCCAUAAAGGAGAAAUCAACCAGCAUCACCAGAGAAAUAGGUAUACUAAUGAAAGUCAUUCCAAUCUGCCACAAAGGAACUGAAACUAACAUAUUACCAAUAUCCAGAACUAGACCGGGAAAAGUACUGCAUACCGCCGGAAAGGGACUGCAUACUGCAGUAAAGGAUCGCACAAAGGCGAAAGAGGCUGGCAUAUGGAUACAAACCAAAGUAGUCCAUGAAGAUAUAGAGACUGAAGGAGCAAAAUACAGAUGCAUAACCUGAAAAAUCAGAAAAGAAAGAGAGCUUGAGGUGAUAUCCACUGAGCAAGUCACUCUUAACUCUAAAGCCUCGGCAGCAACCUGCAGAUCACACAGCAGGGAGACUGGCAUUUCUGAAAACUCUGGCGGAGGAGAUCCAGCGUUGGGAGCAGCUAUUGUGAUGGUCGGGUAGAGGAGAGCUUCACGUUUCAAAGGAAUGUGUUCUUAAUUCAAUGAAUAGCCAAACAAGGAAUCAUACUUAAAGAUCGUUGAUUCCAUAUAAUACAUUACUGAUAAUCAUGAGAGAAAGAAAGAACUCAAAGUUCUGAAUUACUUCAACAUAUCAACCAAAUUAAGACCUAAAACAUAUACUGCAAACCCCAACAUUAAACAAAGCCCGAUAAACAAUAGAAGAAAGUGACGGAGCGAUGCAUCACAUGAGCUGAAGCAGCUCGCCUGGAAGUCCACUCGGUGCCGGCGAUAUUUAUCAACAAUGAAUGCCAUGACAGUAACAACCAACAUAAUUACUAUAAUCGAUGGGAAUCCAAAGGUGAGGACGACCGUUGAUAUAUCUUCGAGUUGGCCAUUUGAAUUGGGGAGUAUAGUGCGGUAUGAUGCUAUCAUUGCGGUACUUAAAACGGCCGUUGAGCCAUAGAUGAACUUCCACAGAGGGAGUCCAAUUAUGAGGAUUAUGAUCACAUAUAAAGAUGAUAAAAAGGCAAACCCGUUGAGGACAUUAAAAAAUAAGGCAGAAUCGAAAUCCAUAGUCAUCUCCUGGAUUUGAAUUUUCCAGCCAAAUUCCGCCGGGAGGACUGAGACCAGCCUGGUAUGUAGCUGUUGCUAUCAGUACCGCCACCACAAGAAUUGCAUCGUAGCGGUUGCUAGUGUUUAGAGACAUGUCUCCGGUCAUGCUUAAAUUUCUCAGCCCCAAGCGAAUGUUACGUCUCUCUAUAAACGUUAGAUUUUUGCUCAUAUAUCCCGCAAGACUCGUUGUGGAAUGACCAAGUAGUCUUUCUUUAGCACUGUGGAGAAGUCUUCUUGCUUUGAGGAAUCCAGGAGAUUGGUGACUUUGAAGUAUGUCCAUCGCGGUUUUGCCAUCCAAGUUCUUGGCUUUUACCUUAACCGUUUUACGCAGAAAUUUCAUAACCUAUAUUAAGAGAGCAAAUUCUGGGAACCAACAAGAGAUUAAGAGAAAUUGAUCCCGAAGAAAAACGGUGGGUUUUAUUAACAAGGCGAGAAAAAGUGCGAUCUAGGGUUUUCUAACUUCCUCGACAAGAUGCUGCCGCCGGCGGCCUCUCCGCCACCGCAGGACGUGAUCACAGGGUCGGGGAUCGAACCAAGCUCUCUGGGAACAUCUCUGGGGGAAGCGAACGUGGUUGAGAAGGAGUUGGGUAGGAGUCCGAAGGAGAAUUCAGCGUUAGCGGUACAAAACAAGUCAGAAGAAAACAAGAGUCCGAUCGGUUCGUGGGUUGCUGUAGUGCAAAACAAGCCUUUGAUGCAGAGUUACGAAUACACAGUCGACGACAUUGAUGGAUCUCAAACCAUCAAAGUUCCGAAAUAAAUUUUGGAGAAUUCUCCACCACUAUGGAAUGAUCUCCUUGUGGGAAAAUUCCUGGACACGGCACCGUAUGUCAGGAAGAUUCACGUGCUAGUUAACAAUAUCUGGUCUCUAUCAGAUAAGUCGGUGAAGAUAUAUGUGUACGUCGUUGACAAGACAACGAUGAAAUUCAGGAUCAGAGACGAAGGGGUUAGAAACAGAGUGUUGAAACGAAGAAUGUGGAACUUGUGCGAUGUGCCGGUCAUAGUUUCUAAAUGGAGUCCAGUUGCAGAGGAAAUGCAACCGGAGAUGAGAUCUGUACCAGUGUGGGUGGUGGUAAAAAACGUUCCGCGAUCAAUGUUUGCCUGGAAAGGACUAUCUUUCCUUACUAGUCCAAUUGGAGAGCCAAAACACUUGCACCCGGAUACGGAAUUGUGCAAAAGUUUUGAAGUUGCUUGUGUGUUUGUCGAAGUGGAUCUCACAAAGCCCCUGCCAAAGUCUUACAAUUUCAUGAUGGAAAACGGUCAGGUUGUCAGUUUCUCCUAUGAAUAUCCAUGGCUGCCAGCCAAAUGCACAAACUGUGAGAAGUGGGGACAUAAACAAGCUGAAUGUGUGAUGCAAAAGGUUCCAGGCCCUCCAAAUGUAACUUCUCCGACUUUGGAGAGCAAAACAGUAAAUGUUCAAAACUCGGUGCAAAACAAAGUGCAAGAAACAGAGUCCAGUGGAAAAAGUGGAAAGCAGGAAAAAUCUGAUAAGGGGGGUGAGGUAGAAAUACCAUCACACCAGACAUCAGAGAGAGAAGAUGGAGAGUGGUCCACCCCAAAUCGGAUAGCCAAAUCUCCACAGCGGGUAACAAAAGAAUCCAAAUUUGGAGAAGUGAGUAUCCUUGCAAACUCAAGAUUCCUAGCUCUUAGUGAUAAGGGGGAGAAUGGAGAAGAGCUCAGCGAUAUGAGUAACAUCGGAGUCAGACAAAACCAGGGCAAAUCAGAGGAGGUGCAAGAGAUCAAUGAUAGUAACCCAGGGGAAGAAGACAUAAGCUCCCAAACAACACACGAGACUAGUAAGGAAACUGAGCACACAACGCGGCAAUCUCAAAGACUUGCAGCGAAAGGUAAUCAGAGGAAACUCGUACCUGAACCGAUGGGAAAUUCCGAGGCACCUCGUCCCGGGUUUCAGAAGAAAAGCUCCUUCCCUAAAAAUCUUUGAUGUAAGGAUUUUUUUGGAACAUAAGGAGACUUAACAAAAAAAGUAAACAAGUUGUAGUGAAGGACUGGGUAAACCGUGGAGGAUUUGAAUUUGGUUGUCUUAUUGAAACAAAGGUUACAGAGAGGAAGGCGAACAAGAUCAUUUCAGAGGUGUUCCGUGAUUGGUCGUGGAUGGGUAAUUACGAGCACCACAGGCUGGGGAGAGUAUGGGUGGUUUGGAAGCAGAACGUGCGUGUCUCUCCUAUUUUCAAAUCACCACAAAUGAUCUCAUGUUCGAUACUGUUAGAAGGGAAAGAUGAGGAAAUGUUCUUUUCAUUCAUUUAUGCUAUGAAUACUGCAGAGGAGAGAAAGGAGCUGUGGGAGGAUCUGCGAAAUCACCAGGAUUCAGGUCUUUAUCAAGGAAAACCAUGGAUCAUAUGUGGAGACUUUAACGAGAUUCUCGACAGCGAAGAACACUCGCUGUAUGAAAAUCUGCCAGUCAUCACUCCAGGAAUGAGGGACUUUCAAGAGAUUGUUGGGUAUUGCGAGUUUUUGGAUUUGAGCUACCUUGGUCCGAGAUACACUUGGUGUAAUCGGAGAGAUGAGGGUUUGAUUAGCAAAAAGCUGGACAGAGUUCUGGUUAAUAGCGAAUAGAUGGCAAGAAACACACAAUCAUAUUGUGUUUUUGAAUCAGGAGGCUGUUCAGAUCACCUGCGUUGCCGCAUACAAAUUCAGAGUAAAGAGCCGCCAAAAAGAAGACCUUUUAAAUUCACCAACGCUAUGACUACUAGCUCAGAGUUUACUACGUGUGUGGAGAAUAACUGGAGAAGAACAGACCCUCUGUUCCACUCGACAUCUGCUUUAUACAGAUUUAGCAAGAAACUCAAAGGGCUCAAACCCUCUCUGCGGAGCAUUGGAAAAAACAUGCUCAGUGACAUCACAAAAAAAACCAGAGAGGCAUAUCAAAAACUUUGUGAUCUUCAAGAGAUCACGAUGCACACUUCCACGAGCCAAGCUGUUGAUAAUGAGAGAGUAGCCUGGGAAAGAUGGAGCCACCUUGCUUCUAUUGAGGAGAAGUAUUUGAAACAAAAGGCAAAACUGUUUUGGCUAAAGGUUGGUGACCAAAACUCCAAAGUCUUUUUCAAUGCCAUUAAAAAGCGAACACUAAGGAACAAGAUCGGAGAGAUAGUUCGCCCUGAUGGAACAAAAGCCACUAGUGACGACGAUAUAAAAACUGAGGCUGUACGUCACUUUGAGGAAUUUCUCAAUGAUAAGCCAGCUGACUUUGCUCCCUAGGAGGUUGAGGAACUUCGGAAUAUCGUGGGAUUUACGUGUUCUGAUGCCGACAAAACACUACUGACUCAUGAAGUAUCUGCUGAGGAAAUUAGGAGAGUCUUAUUCUCUAUGCCUAAGGAAAAGUCUCUAGGACCUGAUGGUUUUACCAUAGAAUUCUACAGAGCAACAUGGCCGAUCGUUGGAAAGGAUUUGGUAAUAGCUAUUCAAUCCUUUUUUAAGAUGGGGUUCCUUCCAAAGGGAAUUAACUCUACCAUCUUGGCUCUCAUACCGAAGAAAAAAGAAGUUGUGACCAUGAAAGACUAUAGGCCAAUCUCCUGCUGCAAUGUGAUCUAUAAGAUCAUCUCAAAAAUCAUUGCAAACCGCCUCAAGAUCAUCCUCCCAAAGUUCAUCACACCAAACCAAUCUGCUUUUGUUAAAAACAGAUUGCUCAUGGAGAACCUGCUUCUUGCCACUGAGCUUGUUAAAGACUACCACAAAGAGAACAUUUCAGCAAGAUGUGCUAUGAAGAUAGACAUCUCCAAAGCUUUUGACUCAGUCCAGUGGGGUUUUCUGAUCAACACAUUGCAUGCGAUGGACUUUCCAAAGGAGUAUAUUCAUUGGAUUUUUUUAUGUAUCUCUUCGGCCUCUUUCUCUGUCCAAGUCAAUGGCGACUUAGCCGGUUACUUUGGUAGCUCAAGAGGUUUGCGACAAGGAUGUGCCCUAUCGCCGUACCUCUUUGUUAUUUGUAUGAACGUACUCUCUAAAAGACUGGAUCGAGCCGCGGCUGAAGGAAGGAUUCAAUAUCACCCGGAAUGCUCAGCAUUGUUGCUUACACACUUAUGCUUCGCGGAUGACCUGAUGGUCUUUGUUGCUGGAGAGAAACAGUCUAUAGUUGGUAUUCUAGAGGUGUUUACUGAGUUUGCAACUCACUCGGGUUUGCGCAUAAGUAUUGACAAAAUCUACAGUCUACAUGGCUGGUCUAACCGAGGAGCUGCGGGGGGAAAUCCUCCAAGAAUUCCCAUUUGAACAUGGUACCUUGCCAGUAAAGUAUUUGGGCCUCCCUUUACUCACCCGACGUAUGACUAAGGCAGAUUAUUCCCCUCUGAUGGAAAGGAUUCAAUCUCAGGUAAACUCAUGGACAGUGAAGCAUAUCUCAUUUGGUGGACGGCUUCAAUUGCUCAAAUCGGUCAUCUUCAGCUUAAUAAACUUUUGGAUGGCUGCCUUUAGACUUCCAAAAGCUUGUUUGGCUGAGAUUGAUAGAAUAUGUGCAAGUUUUUUAUGGUCAGGGCAAGCAGACAAUGGGAAAAAAGCAAAGGUAUCAUGGGAUAUGGUGUGCACCCCAAAGACAGAGGGCGGCCUGGGUUUAAAAUCCCUUGAGGCAGUCAACAAGGUCUGUAUUCUAAAGCUCAUCUGGAGAUUACUUACCGCCAAAGACUCUCUGUGGGUAAACUGGGUCAAAAAACAUUUAAUCCGAACAAGAUCUCUCUGGUCAGUAAAGGACUCUACAUCGCUAGGCUCCUGGAUAUGGAAAAAAAUCCUGAAAUACAGAGAACUGGCUCACAGCUUUUACAGAGUGGAGGUCGGAAGUGGCUCGAUGACUUCUUUCUGGUUUGAUAAAUGGAGUUCUCUUGGUCCACUGAUGGAGGUUUUUGGUCCAAGAGGUUGCAUUGACAUGGGCAUAUCAGCAAACUCAACGCUGGCUGCUGUUAUGGCCACAAAUCAAAGGAGGACACAUCGCAACCCGCUGCUAAAUAAAGUGGAGGAGGAAAUUAAGCAACAAAAGGACAAACGGGUUCAGGGAGAACAAGACAAAAUGCUGUGGCGUGGAAAAGGAGGGAACUACAAAAAUAUUUUUGUGUCUCAGGAAAUUGGGAUCAGAUUCGUGGACAGAAGGUUCCCUGGAACUUGCAUAAAGGGAUCUGGUUUUCCUUUGCAACACCGAAAUACUCUGUCAUCACCUGGCUUGCCGCGAAAAAUAGACUUUCGACCGGCGAAAGAAUGGUCAAAUGGAACCUAAAUACAGCUCCUGGUUGUACUCUCUGUGCAGAGCCUCUAGAGACACGGCGACACCUCUUCUUUGAAUGCCCUUAUACAGAGAAGAUAUGGAAGGAAUUGGUUGGUGGGAUUAUGAAUGCCGAGUACACUGCCAAGUGGGAGGAGAUUCUGGAAUUCAUAACAAAGCCGGCGACAAACACGACGAAGGAAUUUAUUAUCAGGUACACCUUCCAAGCUUCGCUUCACACAAUUUGGUGCGAACGGAACAACAGGAGACACGGAGAACCACAUGUUCCAGGAGACAUCCUUGCCAAGCGCCUCGAUGUGAUGCUCCGAAAUAGACUCAGCACAAUACGCAGAGAGGGAGUGAAGAAAUAUGAAGACGGACUGCAAACUUGGUUUGCUACAAGGAUUCCAUAAUUCAUCACAAAUUAUAGGUUGCAGAACUUUGGGAUUAUGUAAGAAAAGGUCAAGAGAAAAGUUGUAAAACAGUUGUAUUUUUCUUUUGAAUAUAAUUUAACAUUUUAUUCAAAAAAAAGAGAGCAAAUUCUGUGUUCAUGAGAGCAUAACUAUCCAUUUUUAUGGUCAAACAGAAAUGUCUGAACAUAUUUUCGAGGAAAAGGAAAAACUAAAUAAUAAGAGAGACAUUUACCUCAUUCUGAUUCAUUGAUGCAGCAAUAUGGAAGACUGUGUUACCAUCUUCAUCCUUCCAGUCCAAGAUUUUCUUCCUGUUUUCUCUCUUGACCCAUCCAUAUAGAACCUUAAAUGCCAAAAUCUGCUGGUUCUUCACGGCAAUGUGCACAGCUGUCUCACACUUAAUCGUCAAAUCUUCUAUGGAAGAAGGACAAGCGAACAAGAACUCACUCAACAACUCUGCAUCGCCAAUUUGAGCCACAUGAUGCAAAGGAGUAAUCAUUCCUUCUCCCUUGAUGCUCACCAAGCCGCUGUUAAUUGCCACAAUCCCUCUCACCAUUCGAGUAUGCUUGUUUUGCAGGGCUAAAUGCAACGGGCUGAAACCUGACACGUUCAGCUUCAAAGCAAAUGAUGGCUUAAGGUUCAUCAACUCCAUGGCAAAAUGAGUUUGCCCUCUUUCAGCUGCAAUGUGUAGUGGCGUCUCACAAAAGGGCAGUUUAUCAAAGUGACCUAGAAUGUCUGGAUCUUCUGCUAUCAACUGGUAGAGUCUUUUUAUAUCUCCAUCCUGAGCCGCCUUCUUCAAUUUCUCAUAGAUAUUUUCACCAUGAGUGCUCGUACUUGAACUUCCACUCCGAUUUGCAUCUUUAGAUACCAUAUCUGAUACUCCUGUGACAUCCACAACAAUCGACAUAACUUCACUAGUCACCUAGGCUUCUGCUGCCUCCACAAACUAUUUUUUAUUGGCUUCUGAAACAUUUCGUGGUGACGCAAAUCAAAUAAUGCAUAUCAAGCAUUAUAAGUACCGAUCAAGCAUAUUGUUUAAAACAAAUACAGAUCAAACAAAUCUAGCGAGUCAUCCUAUUUGACUGAAUAGUGGAAAACAUAAAAAUGAUGCAAAUGUAAUAUGUAAAAAGAAUAUAUAAAGAAGCUAUAUUAUCGAUGAUGCCUCAACAUGCAGUUAUUGUAAGUAAUUAUAUAUAAUUAUGAAGAUGCAAGAUAAAUAUACAUAUAUAAUUUUCUUUAGAUCUAAACAAUGUUAUGUUUAUUGAUAAUAAUUGAAGAUAAUCAAUACGAAAUAUGUAUAAUAUAUGUCUCACUAAAUGAAAAUAUUCUUUUCAAAUAAAAAUUAUUACGCAAAAAAUAUAUAGAGAUCAUACCUUAAACUUACGAGGAUUUUGGAUUGGUAGAAUUGCUUUAAGUGAAUAUUUUGUUAAGAAACUUAAUAUAUUAUAAGCAAUUAAAAGUACAAAAAAAUGAUUUUGAAGUACAAAAAAAAAGAACCUUAUAUGUCCAACACAUUUCUACUUUUGUGUGCAUGUCAGACUUUUUUAAAUCACUUUAUUCUGCAUGCAUAACACAUUUUUUAAAAAAAGUUUAUUCUGCUGCAUAACACAUUUUUUUGUCCUGUGUCAAUCAAUUUUACCAAAAAAAAAAAAGUCUCCAAUCAACUAUGAUGUUCCACAUACUUUCCACGGCAAAUUAUUCUAAGACAUGGGGAAUAAAAGUUAAUUAGGUCCCACGUCAGAGUAAUUAAAAACCAUAUGAAAACGACAAGAAGCACCAUUGAAAUUUGAAAAAACGUUAUGCAAACUAGUUAUGCAAAGAAUACCUUAUUGAACAACCAACGUUUGUCUCCAUACCAAACAUACCAUUCCAUCAGAUAAUACAAAUAAAAUGUUGUAACGUCGACGCACGGGAGGGUAGUUUCGUAAGUAUUGAAGGAGAGACUCCGAGAUUCUUGAUUAAUAGAGUUUGAGCUUGACAAAAAGAAAGAUGAGCUUAUCGAAGUGAAUGAUCGAGCUGAUUGAUUGAGUAGGCGCGAAGUGAUAUCAAGUUCACAGUUUAGCGAGGUAAAAGAUUAUUCGCAAAUUGAUUAUUAAAGAAUAUCGAGUUUAUAGCAUUUAUGGUAGAUUACGGAUCCCAUAAUAAAUAAGCUUACAAGGCUAUUUAUAGUAACAAAAUUAGGUUAAUAUUUGGUCAGGUAGGUCGAACUGUCGGGCAGCUAGACUUGACCGACCGUCUUUCGAAACCUCGCGGUGGCGAACUGCUCCACCAUUUGCAAAGCCUCGAUUAAAACGACUUUGUUCCAUUCGCUUAUCUGGCCUUUAAUAAUCCUCGGCCUUGUUGGGCUUUAAAAGACGGAUCUUGGGUCGGGUCGGGUUGAAAUGGGGCUGUGCUCAGACCACCUCCAACAAUCUCCCCCUCCCUAAGUUUGUUGGAAGAGAUGUUCUAUCGAUAUUCCACGCCUCGGCGUGUUGGUUUUUUGCCGCGAGCCCCAACUUGGCUUUGAGUGAUGUCCUUUGGCGAGCUAAUUGUUCUUCGGAGAUGCGCUGCUUGUGUUGAGGAGAAUAAGCGCGUUUAGACAGUUGUUCAAAAAGACGUGCAUGAUUGUUGGUGUCGAGAUCGAAAAGGCGCAUAAACGGUGGCUGGGAAGUUGAAGAGGCGCAUGUUGGGAUUUGGAUUAUCGAACACGUGGAAUCCGGGUAGCAAUGAAUUCGAUGGGAAGCAUCCGAACCAUGAUUAUUCUCCUCGGUAACCACUGCUUUUAUUCUAUGUAACUUGAGAAUUCCAUCCCCUCAUCAUUCUCUUCUCUCUCACUUAUAAAAAGAUAAUUUCUCUCUCCCUUCUCUUUAAAAUUCGAUUUCUGCUUAAUUUCUCCCUCUAGGAUUUGUUUUUGCUCCGUCGCCUUUAUCUUUGUUCUUGAGGCUUGAUUUCUCCGAUCACUAUCUUCUUCUGUUUUGGCGGUAAUCUCGCGCAUCACCUUCAUAAACUUCGCACUUCAAUCAUGAGGAAGGCCUGAAUCGAAUCGAGUGAAGAAUUUGGAUCUUAAUCUGAAGAGGUCGCCGAGGAGAGUGGAGAUUCAUCUCCUCAAUUAUUGUCAGGUCCAGAAGUCAGUCGGAUAAAUGGACGUCGCCAGAAGAUGAGUUGGCAGAGCGGCUUCAUCCGGAUGGGGCUGUUUCCAGUUUGGCACAAGGCUGAAAUGAGGUCCUUCAAUCAAAUGACAUCAAAACGGGCUCUCGUGACGCCGAUGCCGAGGUACACAAUGAUGCCAAGCUGGACAAUGCAAAUGUCGAGGAGGAAAAAGACAAAGAAGAAGAAGUUAAGCCUCGCAGGAAGGGAUUCAAAUGCAAGGGUCCGACUGAGAAUCGCUUGAAGAAGAUCUCGUCGUAAAUGACGACAUGCGGACUAGGUUUGGUUUUUUGCUGGAAAUCAUUCUUAGAUUGCCGGGCCCCGAGGAUCAACCAUGGCAGGCUCCGGAGGGCUGGGUAACUCUUUACGAGGCCUGGUUCACUUGUGGCUUCCUCUCCCUAAAUUACUGACUGACUACGUUGACUGGCAAGGCAUCGCAUUCUCUUAGCUUCUUCCAGCGGGGAUAUGCUUUAUGGUCGCCGUUUUGGUAUUUGGAGAUGAAUACGGGGUCAGUGUCGACUGGCGCUUCUUCGAGAAGAUGUCGAACGUUCAGAAAAACAACUCGAUCCCUGGUACUUAGAUGAUAAAAGCCAGAUCGGGGUGCUCAUUGUUUCAUCUGGUCAAUAAAAUGCUUAAUUGGGAGCCAUCCUUCUUCUUCGCCAAGAUCAAUGAGGCGCUGGUUGUAGACACCACCAAAAAUAUUAGGAAUGAGUGGAGCGAACGCAUCUGUAGACUAUGCAUUCAACCGAGCUCAUACUUGCUCACUAUACCUCGUCUCUAAUGCUUUUGUGUUGUUCUUGCAGGUCGGAUCAUCAACUUUGGCGCUUAUCCGGACAACUACUUCAACGAUUUAGCUAAGCUCCAAGCUUUUGGAAUUCGAAAUUGGCCAGACAUACAUCACCAAAGAGUUCAAGCAGCCAUUACCCGCAUCACAAACGGUGGGUAGAUCGCUCUUAAAAUUUCCCUUGAUUUCCAACAUCGAUAAGGUCAAGGAAAUCGAUUGGAGCUUCACAUUUGAUUACGGGAGAAGGGAGAACCCUUCGUUAACAACGUGGAUAAAUGUGCCGAGCUAUUCGGUUUGAUAAGGGGGUCGACCUUAGAAGUCUCUGCUAGCGAGAACGUGGUCUUCAAAUACAUGGCAAGCUUCGCCUUUAAGGUACGUUAUGGUUGCUGUUUGUUAAUCUGCGCCUUAGUUCAAUCAUCAGUAACAUCUCCUCUCUUUUUUCUUUCAGUUUAUCGCGAGCUGCAACCGCAGGCUUCAAUGUGCUGAAACAAAGCUGCGGAAUGCUCAGUCUGCAGGCCAGAGAGUCGUUGAGCUAUGCGACGCCGCGAUCACUGAGCGGAAAGUUGCCGAGGAGAACAGGCAGGCCAAGAAGAAAAGGGUGGUGCAGCUCGAGGCGGGGAUCAAAUAGUUGACUUAGAAGGUCAAGGCAAUGAAGCUAGAAAACCAAGACCUGAUCAAUGAAUCUUCAAUUCGUGAACGACGUGAAGAUUCAAGUUGAAAAGUCAAUUGCUGCCGAGGUCUCAUGUGUGCAGCAGCACGCUAAGGAGAGGAUCAAAGCUGAGAGCACCAGGAUAUGGAUGGAGGCUGAGGCCGAAUUCUCGGGUCAUAUUGGUCGUCUAAGGGCCUAUAUCGCUGAGCUAGAGGCGGCCGAAAUGGUGAAGCUUGAUCUCGUUCAAGCUAGAGGUAUUCUUGAGUGCCUUGAUCUUCUGAAGGACGACUCAAAAAUAACCAAGGACGAGCUGUGGGUCGAGCUCAAGAAGACCAAGAUCGAUUGUGAGCAGAAGCUUGCAGGCCUUAGCCUUGCGGAUUGAGAGGAAGGUGAUCUGCCACCACCGUUCCCUGCUACUCCUGGUAUGGAGUCAGACCACGACAAGACCAGUAGUCCCGAAAUUCUCGAAGGUGACGGUCAGCCUGGAGAGUAUAUCGCCUAUCUCUUAGCUUUCAUCGAUGUUGGAUUUCUCUUUUCUUGUCGCACUUUUCUUUUGGCUCUCUUUGAUCUCGAUUUUAAUGAACCCUUUUUUAUUAAUGAAAUCACUUUUUCUAAGUAAUGACUUGUUUGUGCCUUUUCUUUUGAUAGUUCAUAUUUUUUUUGCUUUAAAUAAUCGAACUAUGGGUACGAGUUAAUAACUCGGCUUAUCCUGUUUUUCUUUACGAGUUUGGGCUCGGUUCACUAAGCUAUUAGGUGUGAGUAUUAGCUCGGCCGACCUGUUAGCUUCUCAGAUUGGAUCCGAAUAGCAAAAAUGUGUUCAGCGUAUUUAUUCGGGCGAUCUAAGAAAUAGUGCGAGAUUAGCCCCGGCUUAUUCUCUAUAGUCAUAAGGUUUUUGUCCCUUAGGAUUAUAAAGAGAUUGCAUUAUGAGGAAUGCGUUAUUAUAGAUGGCACAUCUAGCUAGGAUGUCGAUGUCAAAGACGUCGAGCAAUGAGUUGGUAAAAAAGAUAGAAUUUUAGUUAACGGCUGUACCUUAAAAGAGGUUGUCUACGUACCCAACAAGCUGGGAUCAAGCCGAUCAUAGUUCACAUUUACAAAGUAAGAUAUAGCUCGAUGAGUGUAGCUCGGCGAGCUUCCUUUUUUUGGUUUUUUAGUAGUAGUAUCUUUUGAGGUUCAUCGAGUUCCACGACCUUGGGAUCACCUCGCCUCGCAUUGUCAUGACCUCGUACACUCCUUGCUUGACGUCCUUGAUGAUUUGAUAAGGACCUUCCCAGUUCUCAUCUAGUUUCCUGCUCCUUCCUCUUGCAUGUUCUCGAAUACCUUACGAAGGAUGAGGUUGCCAAUUACAAAGUGUCUUCCUUUGAAAAUUUUGUUAUAACAUCGAGCAGCCUGUUUUUAGUAGUUCUGCAUUUGGAGUAAAGUGUGGUCACGUUCCUCUUCGAGCAUGUCAAAGUUAUCCUUAAUCAUUGCCCUGUUGAUUUCGGCGUCUUGUGUCAGCAUUGUUUGGUAGAGAAUUGGUAGAUCGACCUCAGAUGGAGCGAAAUCCUCCAUCCCUUGUGAUAGUGAGAAAAGGGUUUUAUUUGUAGAUCGUCGCGGCGUGGUUCUAUGCGACCAGAGCACUCCAUCUAGUUCGUCGACCCAUAGGCCCUUCUUGGCUUCCAGUCUCUUUUUGAUACCUCAACUUUCUCGUUUCUCUUUGAUGGUUUUGUCGUUCGCCUCGGCUUGCUCGUUGCCUUGUGGAUACCUCGGUGUCGACUUGCUGAGUCUGAUUUUCCACACGGCGCAGAAAUUCUCAAAUGUGUUGGAAAUGAACUGAGGAACGUUGUCCGCGACGAUCUCGUAUGGGAAACCCUGGCGACAAAUUAUAUGUUUCCAUAUGAAGUUCUUGACAUUGCUGGCAUGGACUUUGGGGUAGGAUUCUGCCUCGACCCAUUUUGUAAAGUAAUCGGUGACAAAUAGCAUAAAAAGCUUCUGAUGGGAUCGAGGAAGUGGACCGACGAUGUCCAUCGUCCAUCGCAUGAACGGAUAAGGUGGUGAUGAAGCCGCGAGAAGCUCUGCCGGGGCAUGGAUCAUCGGCGCGUGCCUUUGGCAUUGCUCGCAGUGAGCAACAAAUCUGUUGUAGUCUGCCAACAUCGUUGGGCAGAAAUGUCUGUGGUUUUUAAUUUCAAAACCAAGGCUCGACAAUUCGAGUGAUUUUCGCACGCGCCUUCAUGUAUUUCCUGCAUGACAUCGAACAUUUCUCCACCAUAUAAGAAAAUGAGUAGAGCUCCCAUCGAGCUCCAUCGAUAGAGAUUUCCGUGGGAUUGGAUAUACUUGGCACUGCGAGCUUUGAGACGUAUUACUACCCAUCGAUCUGGGGGUACCUUGCCAUCUAUGAUGUAGAGUAGUAUCUCGGCCCUCUAGUCGUUGUUGGAGGGUUCUUUCUCGGCUGGCUCAUCUAUCACAUCGGGGAGUGGUGCACCGGUGUUCCCCGGCUGGAGUUCUUUAAGUGUACAUAUUCCAUUAGGGAGUUCAAUACUAGGUGCAUCGAUGCUUUCAACAAGAAUAACACGUCGUUGCUGGGCUCAGACGUCGAUGCAAGGACCGCUAAGGCGUCGGCGGAUAUGUUAUCGCUUCUCAGGAUUCUAUUGAGGGAGAAAGCCUAGAACUCUUCAGUGAGUUUCUUGAUGGCUUGGAGAUACAGGUCCAUUCGGUCGUUCCUGAUAUUGUAAUCGCCGCUAUAUUGGCUGGCGACGAGCUGAGAGUCGCAUAAAGCUUCAAUUUUUCUGACCCCAAUUCCGAGGGCUAGGCGAAGACCAGCGAGAAAUGCUUUGUAUUUUUGCUUCAUUAUUCGAUGCCGAGAAUUCCAGGCGGAACGAUAGUUCUAGAAUCUCUUUUGGUUCGAGACUCCAAACGAAUUCCUACUCCUGCUUCUCGUGAGGAUGAUGAUUCGUCGACGUAUAAAGACCAUCUUUCAUCGAGAAGGUCAGUAUGUACAAGUUCUGGAGGGAGCUGGAUUAGGAAAUCCGCAAGGACUUGGGAUUUGACGCUUGUCGUAUUGCGAUACUUUAUAUCGUAUUCCGUGAGCUCGACUGCCAACUUCGCCAUACGACCGGACUGGCUCGGGCUGUGAAGUAUCGUUCUCAGCAGUUAAUUAGUGGGGACCACAAUUGAAUGAGACUGGAAAUACGGGCAAAGCUUCCUUGCAGACAUAAUAACUGCCAGGGCAAGCUUUCCAGAGAUAGAUAUCUCUUUUCAGCGUCAUCCAAGAUUUAACUGACGUAAAAAAUUGACGUAAAAGAUUGGCUUUUGUUCGCCUUUGACUAGCACCCCGCUGACCACGGAACUAGAGACCGCGAUGUACAGUUAUAGAGUUUCUCCUAUUUCUGGUUUUGUUAGGAUUGGUGGCGUUGACAGAUAUUUGUUAAAUUGAUUGAAGGCGGUUUUGCAUUUCUCGUCUCAUUCGAAACAUUUGUUAGUGCGCAGGAGUUGGUAGAAUGUGAGACACUUAUCUGUUGACCUUGAUAUGAACCUAUUGAAAGCUGCAAUCCGCCGGUGAGUCACUAUACCUCUUGGGUGUUUCGAGGAGUGCGGAGGUCAAUCAGUGCAUCGAUCUCCCUUUUGGUGAUGAUGUACCCGAGGAACUAGCCAGAAGUUACGCCGAACGUGCAUUUGAACGGGUUCAAUUUCAUUUUGUACUGGUUUAAGAUGGUGAAACAGGUUUGCAGAUGGCCGAUGUGGAUGCCGGCAGUAAGAAAUUUGACCAACAUAUCGUCAAUGUAGAUUUCCAUCGUUUGCCCUAAUUUAUCAGCUAACAUAUGGUUUACCAACCUUUGAUAAGUCGCUCAUGCGUUUUUUGUCUAAAGGGCAUGACCUUAUAGCAAUACGUUCCUCGAUCGUUGAGGUGCAUCACGAUCUGAUUGUAUCGUGAAACCGCAUCCAUGAAGGACAUGAGCUCGUUUCCAGCAGUUGCCUCGACAAGUCGAUUUAUAUGUGGCAAGGGGAAGCUAUCUUUGGGACAAGCCUAGUUCAGGUCGGUGAAAUCUACGCAUAUUCUCCAUUUACCGCUUUUUAUUUUUAACGACCACCGGAUUGGCUAGCCACUCUGGGUAUUUUACCUCGGUGAUUGAUCCGGCCGUGGAUAGGCGUUCAACCUCGUCGUUGACGGCUUUGACCUUUUCCGAGCCAAGCUUCUUCUUCUUCUUCUGCUUGAUUGGUUUGAAGGUGGGAUCGGCAAUCAGCUCGUGGCAAGAUAUUGUGGGAUCGAUUCACAGCAUGUCGCUUGUCGACCAGGCGAAGGUUGGAACGUUUCGACAGAGGAUUCUGAUGAGCUCCUUUCUGAUCUCCUCUUUCAGAUCGGCUUUGAUGCCUACGCAUCGCUCAGGGUUGGUUUUGUCAAUGUUAACCUGGACUAUAAGCUCGCACUUUACUCCCUCCUAAGGCGGGAGAUCGACCUGAAUUGUGGGUUUGACUGUGAGGUAUGCCUUUGUUGAGAUUUGUAGCUUAUGCUUGGUUGCGAAGCAGAGCCUCAAAAUUUCUUGAGAUACCUUGAUAGUUAUCAUCCCGAAUGUCGUCGGGAACUUGAGGCAUUGAUGAUAAGUCGCUUGGAUUGCUUUCAUCGAUUGCAGCCAAGGUGUGCCCAAGAGCACAUUGUAGAUUACGGGUUUGUUGAUGACGAUGAAUUUGACGAAUUGGGUCGUCUUGGCGGUGUAGACUGGGAGUUUGAUCGUUCCUAUUGAGUAGACUGUAUCUCCGCCGACUCCGGUAAGAGGCUUCACAGAGGAUUUGAGGUGAUGGUUUGUCAUUUCCAUCUUGUCCAAUGUCUCUUUGAAAAUCAGGUCCACUGAGCUCCCCGUGUCGAUCAGGAUUCCCGUGUCCAUGCAGCUCGAUCACGAGCGGUUCUUUGAUAACAUUUGCCUUGGGAGCUUUUACUUGCCACUUCUGAGCGAGCAUGACCUUUCGGCCAUACUUUUUGAUUGAUUGGACGAAAACGUUGCACGAUGACAGACCGCCCGUUAUCAUGAAUACUUUCUUCUUGAAGAUUGACAUUGUGUCGCCCCUGGGUUGAUUACCUUGAUCCUUUUUGUGGGAUCAUCGUUAGCUUGUUGGACCAUUGGAGGAGGUGGUAGGAGUCGCUCGGCAAGUGCCGCCUGCUGAUUGGUAUUUCCACAUGGAUCAGCGCUACUGGGUUGGCUCGUACCUGCGAUCUCCCUUGCGAUAUUAUGCGAGAAGAUAUUCUUGUAACAGGUGGCACAUCGGGGUUGGAUGGCCGUAUUAGUUAUGAAAAUCGCAAAAAGGCCUCGUCUCUCCGUGCUCACCACGCUGCCAUGGGUUUUUUAUUGCUUGGUAAUGGUGAUUUGGGGGCGGGGGGUGGCACGUUUAUGUUAUACACUGUUCCUUGCCUGUUAUUGCCUUGGUGGAAUGCAUCUUCUAAAGUUUCCGGCGUGUCGAGUUUGAGGCUGUCUCAGAACUUGGUAUCGAACCGAAGAGCGUUUCUAAGAGCUGGUAUCAAGUCCUUGUCGGUUAUGGUGAUGCGAGGGACUAUCGCGUUGAACCUGUCAAUGAAAGAACGGAGGGAUUCCUUCUCGCCUUGUCUGAUUUGGAAGAGAUCGGCACUGGGCACCGCGUCCUGUAUGUACAUUAUGUAUCACUUGAGGAAAACCGUCUAAAAUGCUUAAUAAUUAUCGAUCGAGUUGGCUUUCAGAUUGGAAACCAGACGAGGGCUGCACCGCUCAGGUUUUCGACAAAAAACUGGCAAAACCUGCGUCUUUCUCCUCGGGUGUGAAUCGAGCUCGCCCCAUUUGGAUGCUGAACGCGCUCAUAUACUAGCUAGGAUACGAGUUGUCGGUGUACAUUGGUAGGUUGAAUUUGACCUGGUUGCGUAUCGGGAUAUCGGUGAUUCGAGAUGUGAACAGAGUGCUUUGACUUUUUUUAGUACACGAUCAAUCUCUGGAGCUGAACUGGUCGCCUGAUGGACUAGCGAGGUCAUGGCCUGCAGCCUUGCUCUCAUUUCGUUCGUUUCCUCAUCUCGCCCAACGUCCUUGGCUCGUAGUAAUCGCCCCUCGUGAUCUGGUGUCCGUGUGUUGGUUUCGUCACAAUUUGAAGCUGGUCGGUUUUCAGUCGUUGGGGGCGUCAGUGAGUCACCGAAUAGGACACGCUGCAGGCGCUGAGUUUCUUGUGCUUGUCGCUCCAGAACUUGGGUCUCGGAUGAAUGCAGCACACUGGCUUGAUCUUGGCAUGAGAGCUGCGCUGUGGCCAGCUUGUUGAGAUGUACGCUCAUCUGGCGAUUUGAUUCUUCCAUUCGACCCAUCAUGGUCUCGACCAGGGUUGCGACAUUGGUGUGGUCGGGCGUCGUUUAAUUGAUGUUUGGUGCUUCCAGGGUUGGGAUUGCAAUGUUCUCUAUUGGAUACGACGACGACAGUUUUUGGUUCAGGGUCGCCAGGUCGUUGAUGUGCGAUGUCGUGGUUACUUUCUCUGCGGCUAUUGAGGUCUGCGGUCCAGUCUUUGAUUUGGUUGGUAUUUCUGACAUUAUCAAGCUACUCUUUGCGUAGAAAGAAAUCUCUGAGCCCCACAGUAGGCGCCAAUUGUUGUAAUGUUAUGCACGGGAGGGUAGUUUGGUAAGUAUUGAAAGAGAGACUCGGAGAUUCUUGAUUAAUAGAGUUUGAGCUUGACAAGAAAAAGAUGAGCUUAUCAAAGUGAAUGAUCGAGCUGAUUGAUUGAGUAGGCGCGAGGCGAUAUCGAGUUCAUGGUUUAGCGAGGUAAAAGAUUAUUCGCAAAUUGAUUAUUAAGGAGUAUCGAGCUUAUAGCAUUUAUGGCAGAUUACAGAUCCCUUAGUAAAUAAAUUUACAAAGCUAUUUAUAGUAACAAAAUUAGGUUAAUACUCGGUCAGGAUAGGUCAAACAGGUCUAGCUGCCUGUCCUUCGAAACAUCGCGGUGGCGAGGUGCUUCCACUGUUUGCAAAGAUUCGAUUAAAACGACCUCAUUCCAUUCGUUUCUUGGGCCUUUAAUGAUCCUCGGCCUUGUUGGACUUUAAAAGACGGAUCUUGGGCCGGGCGGAUUAAAAAGAAACUUUGCUCAGCCCACCUAUAAUAUAAAAUACCAACUAAAACUAGAUUUUAUAAUGUAGUUUUCAGAAGAAAAAGGGAUCCCGAAUAAAAAACAAGAAAAUAUCAGAUUUGUUAUGUUCCAAACCUUGUAAUCAAUACAAAAAAAGAGACAAGAUGCACACAUGAACUUAAAAAAAUUAGAGAAGACUACUAAAGAGGGUUGCUUUGUUGAAUUUCAUUUUCUAACAGAGCGAUGGAGGUGUGGAGAUGAACAUAUAAAUUAUGAUCAGUCAAAUUUGCACGUACCAAACACCAAAUGAACAGACAUAUGAUGUAUCAUUACAUCUACGAUUGCUGAUAUAAACACGUUUUUUUUUUUAUUAGAGAAUGUAAAAGGAAAAGACCAACAGGAACUAGCUAGGGUUUACCUUAAUUUGAGAGUAGCUAUGACCAUUGUUAUUCUUAUGCUUAUAAGCUUUUCGGGUCUUACAUGAAUAAUGGCCCCUUCUCUCUUCACUCGUCUUAGUAAAUUGGGUCCAUGGCUGUUCCACUCGGAUAGUACUUUUCUGGGACAUUUCGUCGAAGAAUACUUGCAUUAGCCAUAUUCAUCAAAAACUUGUGAGUUAGACAUCAGUAACACAACGCAUAGAUUCCAGUCUGAUUCCAAAUGUCUCCCGUGAUGAUUCCAAAACAUGCUUCUCAUACAUGAAUCUUACACCCUUAAGAACACAAAUUUCGAACGAAGAAACAGAGAAUGUAACAGAGAUAGACGCCGAUAUAGAGACAGAAGAAACAGAGUAAUGCGUGAGGACGAAGAAGAAAGAAGAAGUUUGACACGAGAUCUUUAACGUCUUGGCUUAAAGAAUUAGAGAGUACAAAUUACAAAGAAUCCUUAAGAAAAUGAUCAAAGAACAAUGAAUCUCUCUCACUCUCUCUCUCUCUCUCUCUCUCUCUCUCUUUCUCACUCUCUCUCUCUCUCUCGGAAUUUACCCUGAGAAAAUUGUUGUAUGGAUAGUUUUAAGUUUUUAAUUUGAGAAAUGGGUAGUUUUAAAAUCACACAAAGGAUUUGAUAGUUUUUACUGUUUACUUUCCUUAUUGGACCCUAACCUUUUAAUUUCUUUACAGAUAUGCUAUUAUUAUAUGUUUAUUAUUUUUUCUUUCUUUUUAUCUUCUCUCUCUUUUAUAUGUUACUUUUUCACUUUUUUUUCUAUUUCUCUUAAUCUUUUUUUUUUCUCACGUACUUUAAACCUUAACUGUUUUAAAUUCUUUAAACAGUUUUUCAUUUGUGUUUUUUCAAAAAAAAUAUAUUUAUUAUCCAGCUAAGAUUUUUGAAAAUAUCCGUAGUAAAAUUUUGGAAAAUUGUAUUUUGAAAACAAUGACCAUUUUCUAAACAAAAGACCAUGUUUUUGUGGUUUUUCACCCAAAAUUGGUGAUGAUUUUUUUUUUUUCUUAUUAUUCCUUUUUAUUAUAAAUAUUGCUACUUUUAGAUAAUAAAAACAUAAAUGAAAAUAUACAAUUAAUAAAAAAGAACCAAGUUAUCAAAGAAUGAUAAAAAAUAAAUAAGCAUCCAAAAUUUAGCUUAAAAUUUGAUAAAAAAUGAAAAUAUUUCUAAAAUUUGUCAAAUAAAUUAACUUAAUGUUUUAAGACUAAGGUAUUGAUCAAAAUUUAGUAUUUUUUCUUAUGGUUUAGGGUUUACGUUAGUCAAUUUGGGUUCGUUAUUACCCAUCUAGAGUUUUGAUUUCUAUAGUGAAUUGCUCUAUAUGGUAGUCAUAUUUUACGUGAGUUGAGUUCGCUAAUACCAAUUUAGGAUUUAAAUUUUUAUAGUUGAUUAUUCUAUAUGGUAACCAUAUUUUUUUAUGAUUCAAUUUGGGUUUGCUAUUACCCAUUUAAGGUAUAGAUUUCUACAUUUAUAUGUUUUUACGGUUGUUGUCCUUAAUGAUUUAAUAUCGCUUUUAUGUGUUUAGUAUCUUCAAAUGGUUGUAUAGUAUUCAUCAAGGUUUAGUUUUUUUUCUUAGGAUUUACAGUGUACGUUAUUCAAUUUGGAUUCACUAUCAGCUAUUCAGGAUAUAGAUUUUAAUAAUUAUAUUCUAUAUGGUAACCAUAUUUUUUAUGAUUCAAUUUGGGUUUGCUAUUACGUACUCAUUUAGGGUAUAGAUUUCUACAUUUAUAUGUUUUUUUGGUUGUUGUCCUUUUUACUCGUCCUUAACGAUUUAAUAUCGCUUUUAUGUGUUUAGUAUCCUCAAAUGGUUGUAUAGUAUUCAUCAAGGUUUAGUUUUUUUCUUAGGCUUUACAGUUUACGUUAUUCAAUUUGGGUUCACUAUCAGCUAUUCAGGAUAUAGAUUUUAAUAAUUAUAUGUUAUUUAUGGUUUUCAUACUUUAGAUUUUUUUUUAUUUGGGUUCACUAGUACACAUUUAGGAUUUAGUUUUAUAUAGUUGAUUGUUCUAUAUGGGAGUCAUAUUUUACGUGAUUCAAUUUGGGUUCGCUAUUACCCAUUUAAGAUAUAGAUUUCUACAUUAAUGUAUUUUUUUACGGUUGUUGUACUUUAUGUUUUUUAACGGUUGAAUAUCCCUCUUAUGUGUUAGUAUCCUAAAUUGGUUGUAUAGUAUCCAUCAAGGUUUAUAGUUUAUGUUAUUCAAUUUGGGUUUAGAUUAGGGUUUACAUUAUUAUUUAUUUAUAGGGUUUAAGGUUUAGGUUUAGGUUUAUUUUAUAUUUAAGGUUUAGAGUUUAUGUUAUUCAAUUUGGGUUUGCUAAUAUGUAUUUUGGGUUUAGAUUUCUAUAGUUGAUUGUUCUAUAUGGUAGCCAUAUUUUACGUGAUUCAAUUUGGGUUCUCUAUUACCCAUUUAGGGUAUACAUUUCUACAUAUAUAUAUUGGAAAAUAUAUUUAUUCUCCAAUUAAAAUUUUUGAAAAUAGCUUUUCCAAAAUAUGGGAAAAUUUUAUUUUGAAAACAAUGACUAUUUUCGAAACAAAGACAGGAUCUAUAUUUUUGUGGUUUUUCACCCAAAAAUACUGAUGAUUUUUUUCUUAUUAUUAUUUUUCUAUAUUAUCAAUAUUGCUACUUUUUGAUAAUAAAAACAUAAAUGAAAAAUCUACAAUUAAAAAAAGAACAACUCCAAGUUAUCAAAGAAUGAUAAAAAAAAGAAAUAAACAUCCAAAAUUUAAAUUAAAAAUUGAUGAAAAAUUAAAAUAUUCCUAAAACUUGUCAAUAAAUUAACUUAAUGUUUUAAGUCUAAGGUAUUAAUCAAAUUUUAGUAUUUUUUUUCUUAUGGUUUAGGGUUUACGUUAGUCAAUUUGGGUUCGUUAUUACCCAUUUAGAGUUUUGAUUUCUAUAGUGAAUUGCUCUAUAUGGUAGUCAUAUUUUACGUGAGUCAAUUUGGGUUUGCUAGUACCAAUUUAGGGUUUAGAUUUUUAUAGUUGAUUAUUCUAUAUGGUAACCAUAUUUUUUAUGAUUCAAUUUGGGUUUGCUAUUACCCAUUUAGGGUAUAGACUUCUACAUUUAUAUGUUUUUACGGUUGUUGUCCUUUAUAUAUUUUUUUAACGGUUUAAUAUCGUUUUUAUGUGUUUAGUAUCCUCAAAUGUUUGUAUAGUAUUCAUCAAGGUUUAGUUUUUUUUCUUAGGUUUUACAGUUUACGUUAUUCAUUUUGGAUUCACUAUCAGCUAAUUAGGGUAUAGAUUUUAAUAAUUAUAUGUUAUUUACGGUUUCAUACUUUAGAUUUUUUUAUUUGGAUUUGCUAGUACCCGUUUAGGAUUUAAAUUUCUAUAGUUGGUUGUUCUAUAUGGUAGCCAUAUUUUACGUGAUUUAAUUUGGGUUCGUUAUUACCAAUUUAGGGUAUAGAUCUAUACAUUUAUAUAUUGUGACGGUUGUUGUACUUUAGUUUUUUAAACGGUUUAAUAUCCCUCUUGUGUGUUUAGUAUCCUAAAUUGGUUGUAUAGUAUCCAUCAAGGUUUAUGGUUUAUGUUAUUUAAUUUGGGUUUAGAUUAGGAUUUAGGUUUAGGAUUUACGUUAUUAUUUAUUUUUAGAGUUUAGGUUUAGGUUUAUUAUUUAUUUAAGGUUUAGAUUUUAUGUUAUUCAAUUUGGGUUCGCUAGUAUCCAUUUAGGGUUUAGAUUUCUAUAGUUGAUUGUUCUAUAUAGUAGUCGUAAUUUACAUGAUUCUAUUUGGGUUCAUUAUUACCCAUUUAGGGUAUAAAUUUCUACAUUUAUAUAUCGGUACGAUUUUUAUUAUUUAUGUUUUUCUUUAACGGUUUAAUAUCUCUUUUGUGUGUUUAGUAUCCUAAAUGAUGUGUACAUUUCUUUCACAUGUGUUGUGUACACCAAUUAGUAAUAGUUUUAUUGAAAUUUAUUCUAAUUGUAAUGGUUUAAAAUAUGUAUACUGCAUAUGCGUACAAUACAUCACAUAUGAAUACAUAACAUUUGUGUACACCACACAUACAUAUAUAUUGCAUAUAUGUACACUGCAUAAGUGUACAUCGGAUAGGUGUACAUUGCAUAAGUGUAAACUCCAUAGGUGUACACUGCAUAAGUGUACAUUGCAUAGGUGUACACCGCGGUGUACACUAUAUCGGUAUACACGUAUAGGUAUACGUUUUAAUAAUUUCUGUUUUAAAAAAAUUCAAAUUUCUAUAUGUGUAGAAAAAAACUAUAAUAUAUAUAUAUGUCAUAAUCUGAUUCAUUGUUUACAAUUAAAUAUAUGAUCAAAGAUUUGAUGAGGGGAAAUUUUCUAAAAGUAGGAAAGAAAAAUAGAAAAAAAUAAAUUUAUUUCUAGGUGUAUAAGCGCGUAUAGACAAUUUUUGUUGGGACCACGUGAUUUUCUGUAUCUGUCUCUCUCUAAAAGACAUAUCUCUCUAUCUUUAUCUCUCUCUCAGACACAAAGAUAACUUUGGGGUUUUGAAAAUAUGGCCCCAACAAAACUACCUAAAAAUUAAUAAAAACUUAAAAAUACCCAUUCUUCAAAUAAAUACUUAAAAAGUACCCUAUUUUCAAACAUACCCAACUCUGGCUGACUCUUUCUACCAAUACCAAACCAGUUCAGCUGAACACAGAAUUAUUCUUGAAGAUCUUUGAUUACAUAUCAAGAGAGAAAGAACUCAAAGUUGUAAAUUCAUUCAGUAUCAAAAUCAAAUGCUCCUCCUCUUCACCACUUUAAUUAACAAAAACAAAUAUCUUUACUAUAUUCAAUAUCAAAGUUGUAAAUACUUUAAUUAACACAAAAGUUACAAUGGACAUAGUCUUGAUAUGUUGAUAAUCAAAGACUCUAUAGAGAGAAGAACUCAAAGAUAAAAACAUAAUUAUCACAAUAAUUACUAGUGCUGCAUGCUAGAAUCAAGUAACAUACAACAGCAACCGUCUUGGUGCAGGUGCGCCAUAUUAAAGGAAGGUGAAGAUGUGAUUCAACAGAGAUGGGCUGAAACAGCUUGCCGGGAAGUCCACUUGGCGCAGGCGACGUUUCUCAACAUCAAAUUUACGCUAAGUAACAUACAGCAUGGUUCCAAAAAAGAGUGCACAGAUGAAGACGACCUUUAAUAUACGUCUGGAUCCGCCAUAUGAUUUCGGGAAUAUAUUGGUGUAUGAUGAUAAAAGAGCAACACAUAAAGCCAACGUUGCGCUAUAGAUGAACUUCCACAUGGGGAGUCCAAUUAUGAGGAGUGUGAUCACAUAUAUAGAUGAUAAGAAUGCAAACCCGUUGACGCCUAGAAAAAUGAGGGCAGGGUAGAAAGCCAUAGUCAUCUGCCCAGCCUUGUGUUUAUGUGGAUAGGAAGUGCUGGGUUCAGAAUCCUCCUGCCAAAGUCUGCCUGGAGGACUGAGACCAGCCUGGUAUGUAGCUGUCGUUAACAGUAUAGCCACCACAAGUAUUGCAUCGUGGCGGUUGCUAGUCUUUAAAGCCCUUCACUAGUCAUGCUCGCAUUCCUCAACCCCAAGAGACAUUUUUCUUUGUCAAUAAAUGGUAGAUCUUCGCUCAAAUAUCCCAAUAUAAGAGACUUGGAUUUCCAACUCAAAAAUCAAUUCGCAAUGAGUGAAUUGGUCCAAGUUCAUUAUAUUAUCCAAGAUCUCUCCCAACUUUCAAUGUGAGAUAUUUCUAUUGGGAUUAGGUAGAUAUAAUCUCUAUUAGGAUUAGGUAGAGAUUAUUGAGCAAUUAAAUCUUAAUCUCUAGUGAGUGUGUGAGAAAUAUCCCAUAUUAGAAGUUGGGAAAGAUCUUGAGUAAUAUAUAAAGGACUUAAACUAAUUCACUUAUUGCCAAUUGGUUUUGAGUUGAAAAUACAAAAAAAUUAACAAAUUUGGAGGAAACCUUAGAAGGAUAAUAGUUUCUCUCAAUUAUAUUGAUUAGCCAUUAUGCUUAUUUAUACUAAAGAUAUAGCUUUAUUAAUAAUUUUUAACAUAUUUGAUGAUGGAAAUGUACCUAAUUAGUUAAUAGAAAAUAUACACAAAUAUUAAUUUCCUUUCUACUCGAUCUCUCCAAAAUCUCUUCAACACCCUCCCGCAAGCUCAUACGUGGUAACAUGACACGUCAUUAAUGUAUCGGUAUUAUACCCGGCCAUCGGGUCAUCUUCACAGAAUUUAUACCCCAUUGUAGGGUUAUCAAUUUGGUGGAAAAUACAUCAUGAUUGUAGUUGUGUAUCCACAUCAUCAUCUCGUCAUGGUGGAGUCACCGUACUAACAGUAUCUUCGUGGUCAUCAUCAUAUUCGUAGUUGAUAGAUAACCACAUGAAAACCUGGAAAAAAAAUUAAGAGGAUGAAAUAUGAACGAAUCCAUUAGGUUCAUGCUCAUAGUCGCCAUAAUCAUCAAAUCGUUAAAUUUCUUUUUUUUUUUUUUUUGAAAAAUCAACUCAGUAAUUAAAAGAAGGAAGGAAAGAUAAAAUAGAAUUAUAAAUAGAAAUAGAAGAGGUUAUCGAAUAAGGUACAAGAAAAUGUCAACGAGAGAAGUCGUUUUUUUUUUAACUAGGAGAAAACCUGCGCAUAUGUGCGGUCUUAUUUUAAUUUAUAUUUUAUAUAAUUUUUAUUGCAUUUUAUGUUUAUUAUUAAUGUUUGUUUAAAAUAUUUAUAUUUUUCUCAAUUGCUUUUUGAUGAUACAUUAUUUGUAAUCUUUUCAAUAGUAGUUGUGUCAAAUAAUCUAAUUUUUACCAAGAUAAUAAUGUACUAAAAUUCUACUAUUUUAAUUUUUGUAUAAAACGUAAUAGUUUACUUAAAAAUAUAAGUUGAAUAUCAGAAAGAAAUAUUUAUUUAUUCAUCGAUCUUCAUAUUCUUUUUAUUCUUGUAGAUCUUACUAAUAUAAUACUUGUUAAUUUUUUUAAUCUACUAUUUUGAAUUUUUUUGGCUAUAUAUAUUUUAUUAAUUUAAUCUUUUUAAAUUUUUUUAAAAAAAUAUAUGUCUUCUAGGUCUAUCUAGCACCUAGACAAAAAAAACGGAGAUUAAUCAGAGAUUAAUCGUAGAUUCAUUUUUAUAUUUAUUUUAAUUAUUUUAAUUACUUUUUAAUAUUUAUUUAUUUUUAAGAUUAAUUUUGUUUUAUUUGACAUGUAUGAACUAAAUUUUGUAUAAAUAUGUGUAUAAAGAUAGAUUUAGAAGACAUAUUGAUGUGAUGAAGACCCAAAUUUAACUCAAACAUAUAAAUAGCCAUGACAAUUUUUUAAAAGCGGGUCUUUUGGUUUGUACCACAUCGACAAACUUAGAUAAUUGAGUAGGGCAAGCUGCACUAUAAAUAAGAGUCUUCAUCUUCUGGCCCAAAACAAAGACUGAAUGCGUUACACUGUUAGGUCUGUAUUUGAGCCCGAUUUUGAACUUAAAUAAUUGAGUUUUUACAAAAAUUGGUUCUAGGCGGUCUAAAAUUGAAUAGGCGGUCUAUUCUUUUAACAAAUGGUGCACGUGGUGCUCUUUCUAGUCUGACGAAUCCAGUUUUUCUAUAUAAAAUGAUUGCAAAUAAGAAGUCCUAGAUGAUAAGAAGUGGUUCAAGGAUCGAACAAAAACCAAAAGUUUGUAUGAUUUGGUUAGGGCAUGACUGCAUAUCUAGAUUUGCGGGAUAAUCAAUUUUAUUCAAAAUCUCUGGAUAUUUGAAAACUGGAUAUCCAGCUUAAAUUAAAUAUAUAUGGAUAUCCGACCGGAUAUCCGGUUUCGUUGAUUGGUUGGAUAUCCGAUUUCGUUGAUUUAAAAAAAAAUCUUCAAUUUUUUAAAAAUUAUAAUACAAUAACAUAUAUAAUUAAAAUGUAUCAACUUAACAAAAAUUACAAAUACCAAAAAUUAAAAUCAUUUAAAUAGCAUUCAAAUAACAAAAAGUUUAAAAGUUUACAUAGCAAAAGAGAAAAUAGUAAUAGAGAAGCUAAUUUAUUUUUAUAUUCAUGUGUUAUUCAUUUUCAUGUUCUGUUCUCACAAUCUAAAAUAGAAAAUUAUCAUGCAAUAUAAAUUUCAAUUAAUAUUAUUAAAAUAAAUUAAUAUUUAAUAAACGGAUAAUGGAUAACGGAUAUCCGAUUUCAAAAUUUUCUAUUAUUCGGAUUCAUAUCUGAAAUAACCGAAUUCUUAAUUUCAUUAUCCGGAUCAGGAUCCGAACUCUACGGAUAUUCGGUUUUUAAGAAUUGGAUAGGAUUGGAUACUGGAACAGAGACCGGAUACCGGAUAAUAAUUUCAGCCCUAGAUUUGAUUAUGGCUCUGAUACUAUAAUAAGUUUAGAGGAAACUUUAGAAGUAAAAUAGUUUCUCUCAAUUUUAUUGAUUAGCUAUACAAAAGAUAUAACUUGAUUAAUAAGUUCUUUACAUAUUUGAUUUUUGCAUAUUUGAUGAUCGAAAUCUACCUAAUUAGUUAAUAGAGAAUAUACACAAAUAUUUAACUUUCUUUCAACUUGAUCUCUCCAAAAUUUCAUAACAUAACAUAAUAGAGAAUAUAUACAGUUGUUAAGUUUCCUAAACUUCCAACUCAAAACCAAUUAAUAAUUAGUGAAUUGACUUAAAUCUUUUAUAUAUUACCCAAAAUCUCUCCCAACUUUCAGUGUACAUAUUUCCCACACAAUCUCUAGAGUUUAAGGCUUCAUGGCCCAAUAAUCUCUACCUAAUCACAAUACAAAUAUAUACAAAGGAUAUAGGAUAACCUCCAGAGUAUCACCACAUAUCUAUCCAUUUCAAUUGAUAAACAGCAAUGUCUGAACAAAGAUUUUCGAGGAAAAGGCAAAACUAAAUUAUAAGAGAGAGCGACAUUUACCUCAGUUUGAUUCAUCGAUGCAGCAAUAUGGAAGACUGUGUUACCAUAUUCAUCCUUCCAGUCUAAGAUUUCCUUCCUGUUUUCUCUCUUGACCCAUCCAUACAGAACCUUAAAUGCCAAAAGCUGCUGAUUCUUCACGGCAAUUGUGCACAGCUGUCUCACACUUAGUCGUCAAAUCUUCUGUGGAAGAAGGACAAGCGAACAAGAACUCGCUCAAUAAAUGUGCAUGGCCUAGUUGAGCCACAUGAUGCAAAGGAGUAAUUCCUCCUUUUCCCUUGAUGCUCACUAAGCUGCUGUCAAUUGCCACAAACUCUCUCACCAUUCGAAUGUGGUUGUUUUGCAGUGCUAAAUGCAACGGGCUGAAACCUGACACGUUCAGCUUGGAAGCAAACGACGCCUUAAGGUUCAUCAACUCCAUGAAAAAAAGAGUUCGCCCGCGUUCAGCUGCAAUAUGUAGUGGCGUCUCACAAAAGGGCACUUUAUCAAAGUGACCUAGAAUGUCUGGAUCUUCUGCUAUCAACUGAUAAUCAAGAGAGAAGGAAGAACCAAUUUUUUUUUUUUUUUUUUUUCUGAACACUGGUUUUAUUAGAAUAGUUCAAGGAGAUCUUGCAGUUGUUGGGAGGUAAUGUUGUGUUUUCUUUCUUCUAAUAUUCGAUAUUAGGGACAUUAUGAAGAUUUUGUUUUGGUUAAGAAAUGUGAAAAAUGCAGGAACAUAAUCCAUGGAAGUGAUGGGCCAGAGACAGCAAAAGAUGAGAAACCACAAGAACUUGGUUCUUACACCAAUAACGCUGAGAAGUGGAUCUAUGGCGACAACUAAAUCUCCUUAUCUUUCUUUCAUCAAAAAAAAAAAAUUUCUACAUAGCCAAACAAUGAAAACGAGAAACAGUUAUUACGGAUACAAACACAUCCUGGAUGAUUGGAUUAUAUAAUUCUUGUUUGUUUUGUCGAAUUGUUGGACCUUUAAUAUACAAAGAUUGAGAAAUGACGGAUUUUGUUUUUUUUAGUUUAAUGUUAAAUUAUAUUUAAAGAAAAAAAUAAACGUUUUACAACUUUGAUUGAGCUUUUGAGAACUAGAAAGUAUUAAGAAACAGUAUUUUGAAUCGUUCUUGCUGCUUAUCGAGUGGAGAACCUCAUACCUCAUAUCACCAGUUCUUUGGAUCGAACUUAGCUAGUUUCUAACGUUUUUGUCUAUCAUCUUGGAUAGUCAGUGGCCGUUAAGUCUCUCCAUGUCUUCUAUGGUUUCUUUCUCUCUGUACCGAAUGAAUGGAUGCUUCGUACGUUUCUUUUUCCUAUCAAUUACCAAAAUGUGCAGAUUCUAAAUAUUUAGCUUGAGUUUUGAGAGACAACCAAAAAAAAAAUGGCUAAGUACAUGGCUUAGUUUUUUUUUACAACUUUUUACAUGAACCCCCUUCAUACAAAGAUUCGUUCAUAGCUAGUAACAUUUUACGAAAAUUAUAGAAAACCUCCAUAAAUAAUAGACACAAAAUUCCAUGGAAAAACUGGAAACAGAACUGAUCAGGAGAUAAUGGCACAUUGUAAUGUAAAUGUGCAUUAAUUCAAAGAAUAGCCAAACAUGGAAUAAUACUUGAAGAUCGUUGAUAUCAUGUAAUACAUUACUGAUAGUCAAGAGAGAAAGAAAGAACUCAAAGUUCUGAAUUACUUCAACAUAUCAACCAAAUUAAUACACAAAACAUAUACUGCAAACACCAACAUUAAACAAAGCCCGAUAAACAAUAAAAGAUAGUGACGAAGCGAUGCAUCACAUGAGCUGAAGCAGCUCGCCGGGAAGUCCACUCGGUGCCGGCGAUAUUUAUCAACAAUGAAUGCCAUGACAGUAACAAACAACAUAAUUACUAUAAUCGAUGGGAAUCCAAAGGCGAAGACUACCGUUGAUAUAUCUUCGAGUUGGCCAUUUGAAUGCGGGAGUAUAGUACGGUAAGAUGCUAUCAUCGCAGUACUUAAAGCCCCCGUUGAACCAUAGAUGAACUUCCACAGAGGCAGUCCAAUUAUGAGAAUUAUGAUCACAUAUAGAGAUGAUAAAAAGGCAAAACCGUUGAGGACAUUAAAGAAUAAGGAAACGUCGAAAUCCAUAGUCAUCUGCCCAGCAACGUGAAAAUUCGGAUCACUAUGAUUUGCAGGAUUUGAACUUUCCUGCCAAAAUCCGCCUGGAGGACUGAGACCAGCCUGGUAUGUAGCUGUUGCUAUCAGUACAGCCACCACAAGUAUUGCAUCGUAACGGUUGCUAGUGUUUAGAGACAUGUCUCCGGUCAUGCUCAAAUUGCUCAGACCCAAGAGAUUGUUAUGUCUCUCAAUAAACGUUAGAUUUUUGCUCAAAUAUCCCGCAAGGGUCGUUGUGGAAUGACCAAGUAGUCUUUCUUUAGCACUGUGGAGAAUUCUUCUUGCUUUGAGGAAACAUGGAGAUUGGUGACUUUGAAGUAUGUCCAUCGCGGUUUUGCCAUCCAAAUUCUUGGCUUUUACUUUAACGGUUUUACGGAGCAACUUCAUAACCUAUAUUGAAGAGAGCAAAGUCCCAGGUCAUGAGAGCAUAACUAUCCAUUUAAUGGUCAAACAGCACUGUCUGAAACAAAAUUUUCGAGGAAAAGGAAAAACUAAAUUAUUAGAGAGAGACAUUUACCUCAGUCUGAUUCAUUGAUGCAGCAAUAUGGAAGGCUGUGUUACCAUCUUCGUCCUUCCAGUCCAAGAUUUCCUUCCUGUUCUCUCUCUUGACCCAUCCAUACAGAACCUUAAAUGCCAAAAGCUGCUGGUUCUUCACGGCAAUGUGCACAGCUGUCUCACACUUAAUCGUCAAAUCCUCUAUGGAAGAAGGACAAGCAAUCAAGAACUUACUCAACAACUCUGCAUCGCCAAUUCGAGCCACAUGAUGCAACGGAGUCAUCCUUCCUUUUCCCUUGAUGCUGAUUAAGCUGCUGUCAAUUGCCACAAAUCCGUUCACCAUUCGAAUGUGGUUGUUUUGCAGGGCUAAAUGCAUUGGGCUGAAACCUGCCACGUUUAGCUUCGAAGCAAGCAACGGCUUAAAGGUCAUUAAUUCCAUGGCAAAAUGAGUUUGUCCUCUCUCAGCUGCAAUGUGUAGUGGCGUCUCACAAAGAGGCACUUUAUCAAAGUGACCUAGAAGGUCUGGAUCUUCUGCUAUCAACUGGUAGAGUCUUUCUAUAUCCCCAUCUUGAGCCGCCUUCUUAAAUUUCU
rnacentral:lncRNA from 1 species